rnacentral:lncRNA from 1 species
UAGAUUAACCAAACCAACUGAUUCAACAUGUUUAGUCCUUAAAUCCUUGUUCUUAGUACUACCUCCAUAAUCCCACACUCCUAAUCAUAUGAGCUAAAAUGUUACACAUUCAAUCAUUGAGAGAUAUAAAGAAAAAGACAUAUACAUAGAUAGAUUAUCUUUUCAUAAGGUUGAGUGAUCUGAUCUGACAAAUGUUAUAAGUGCUACACUCAUGACUUUUCAUCCAUCAACUUUUUCUUGCUCACUAUGCUUAGGGUUAGAGAAGAAUAAAUACACUUUAGGUUCUGUUGGUGUUUUCCACCAACAGGACCCAUACACUUGAUCUCUGCCUUGUCUCUAUGAGCAGGUACACUUCGAGCAAAACACGGAGGAGUUUUAUAACUCUCAGACUCUACCAAGUGAAGGACCUGGAUCUACGAGCACAAAUACACUGAGCAGGACACUGCCAACGCCGCACUUCGAACUGUUGGGCAAACGAAGAGGUGCAGACGUCAAGGUCCGCACCUGAAUCAAAUGACGCACCUGAAGAAUGAACACGGUGAGAAGUCUUGUUAAGAAGACUUAAAACAUUGAACCCUCGCCGAAAGGUAAGAUCGGUAGUUAUCCAUAUUUAUCCUUUCUGCAUUCCCUUUUCCCUUUUAUUAUUUACUUUCCUUAAAUAGAUUAUUAGUUAAUCAUGCUAUCUUGAAAAGAAAAUAAAAAUGUUAAAAAAUACUAAGCCCCAUGUGAGUAUACGAGUGGCAUAAAACCCAUAAGUACCUUCACUGUGGUGGCAUAAAAAUAAAAUAAAUAUUUCUUUUCUGCUUUAUAAAAUAAAAAUAUAAAAACAGGGAGUAAUAUUUAUUGAGGAAGCUCUACAUGAUGAAGGCUAGAUAUUUAUGCUAACACUUAAUUAGUUCCACAAGCUUUGUUGUCUAUUUGAGCUCCACAGAAUUUAAGAAUCAAGAAGACUAGCAGACGGAGGACAUUCUAAUCACUGUCAGAAUGCUGCUGACUUUCAAAUACACCUCUGCCACCUGCUAGCUACAUCAAGAGAAAUUACGUCAAAAUUCAGCUUGGGGGAGAGCACCCCCAUUUAUCUCGCUAAGUAUUUCUACCUAUCUUUAUACUUAUAUUAUGUUAGAAUAUUAAAAUACAUAAACUAUGAAAAACCAAAUAAAGAUUUUGUGCUUAUAUAUAUCUUUUGCUUAGUGUGUUUAAUAAAUAAAUAAAAUAGCUAUGCUAAUCUGAAUCUUAAUAAUAAAACUCUAGCAUGGAUAUGAUGAAUAGUUGCUCUGCCUAAUUUGCAAAUUUAAAGUUCUCUCUCAAGUUUAGACAUAACUGUUAUAAUUUAAAGCUUGCUCUAGAUCUAAACUUGUGGGAUGAAAACUUGAUCUGAAAUCUAAGUUGUUAACGGAUAUGAUAUGGGAAGGUUGAGCUGUUGUUUAUCUGUUCCUAGAGAUGCUAGAAUUCUGGAGAAUUUUAUCUUUGAAAAAUCUUUAAAAUAUUGCAUGAUGAGUUCCUGUAUGAUGAGAGUUUAAAUUCCUACCACAGCCAUAUAUACAUGCUUGCUAGACUUUGAGCCACACAUUUAUUUACUACUUAUGAGCAUUGAGUAUGGUCAAGCUGUGUAGACCCUUAGGAGCUUGUCAUGUGGUUAAAUCAAGAUUCACUUGCACGUUCACUCAUAUAUGCUACUUCUACUCUGGAAGUACCAUCCACAUAUAUCCAUCCAUGUCCAUCUCCAGAACCACCCAAAUAUAUUCUACUCCUAAUCCGGUUGAGAAUAGCCAAAAAUAUUUCCGUUUUCCCUUGUGAAAUAAAUGCUCAAGUUAUCUUGCUACUACCACUUGCUAUAUUAUCUCAAGAGAUGAGUGCUCUAAAAAAAAGAAAAGAGAAGAAAAGAAAAAAAAAUAAACGAGGAAAUAAAAAGGGGCAAGUGCCCGGAACCUCGAAAGAAAGAAAAAGUGAGACGAGAGGUAAAAAUGGACAAGUGUCCGACAGUAGAAUUAGGGGUACAAGAUACCCAUCUGAGAGAAAAGAAAAAGAAGAGCAUCUCAUUCUCCUUACAAAGUUUCAAAAAGCAAGAAAGGUAUGUAUCCCCUCAAAAGAGCAAAAGUAGAAUUAGACUUUCACCAUUGUUAUCACCAUCAUCACCAUACACCAUUCAUUCGCCACACAUGCACAUCUUGAUUUGGCUUAUUGAUUUGUUUCUUUGGAUCCAUGGUUUGACUAUACAAUAAAUGUCUUGUAAGUAUGUAUACUUUAUCUCCCACCUAUGAGCUCCAGAUAUUAAAGCCUUAUUAGAGUAGGGUGAGAGAGAAGGCAAUAUCACUAUGCCUCAUACCACAAACACUACAUACUUUGAGAGAAGGCAUAUACCAUCACUGCCUUGGUAAGGAUCCAGAAAUACCACAAAAGAGAGAUUUAGAGAGUCAUACAAGGAAUCUCUGAGUUUUAUUUGGAAAUCUGCAAAAACUCCAGAGCUAUAGCUGAUCAAGAAUAAGCGACAUGGCACUUGACUGGACUGUUCUAUCUUUUAACCACUCAAGACAGAAGUGACGGUUACAAGUCCCAUGGUGAAAGGUAAAGUAAGUAAGUUUUAAGUCUUGACAGUUUACUCUAACUCAGAGAUGAGACCUCAUUUAAAAGCAUGUGUACCGUCAAUUUUUAAAGAUAUUGCAACAACUUAUGAUCCAUAGCUGAGUCUAUCCUUGCUCAGGGACGAGCAAGAGGUAAGCUUGGGGGAGUUUGUUGACGGUCCUUAAGUAUCAAAUUUAACUAUCAAAUAAACAAAGAAAAGGAUCCAAAUGAAAUCAACAUCGAGACUUAGGGUUUUAUCUGACAGAAUUCCAUGAGUUUUGGUGUUUGUCUAUUUCUGCAGGGGGUUAUCAGCAAAUAAGGAAGAAAGGCCCACACGUCGGGAUUACAUAGAGAUAUCAACGUGCCGCGCAAUUAUCUUACAUCUAGAAGACUCCAGAAGCCAUGGGAACGAACGGGAAGGCGAACGGGCCCGGGGGCAGGGCGCCCGCCCACCCCCCUUGGGCGCCCGCCCAGGAGUUGUAGUCAAACACGUCCAACUUUGCGGACCAAGCUCCACCGACCUAAAGGAUCAAGGAUAACCGUUCAAUCAAUGUCGGUUUGAUCCAACGGCCCAGGUUCACUUGAGGGGACUAUAUAACCAGACCCCCUGGCCCCUGGAGGAGGCACCCCUUGAUCAUUAUUCAUUAUUCAUAGACAGAGCAAAAGCUAGGGUUUAGAGAUGAGAGCUCUCCUCUCUUCUCUAAACUAGAGUAGAUCUAGAUAGUAGCGAGAUGGAGAGCGAAGGAGGAUUAGAGGAGAGGCCGGCCUGUCGGUUCUUCCUCCGGUUGUACUUCGCCAUGAUCAAGCUCUAAUCAAGCUUGCUCAUGGGAUGACUCUGGUAAUCUACUUCUAAUUCAUUGUGCAAUUACUAAUUAUGUAUGUGCUGGUUCACAACUCUUUUGAGUACUUCUAAUCUAUAGGAUGCUAUAGGUUAGAGUUGUAGUAUAGGUGUAAGCGUGGUGCUUAGAUCUAGAUUACUUGUGGAUAUCCCCUGUCUAGCUGGAUCGUGUGGUAGGCCGCGUAGGUGACAGUUACGUUGGUCCUCUGUAGUCCACCUCUCGUUAGCAGGACGGGUAGGGUUUAUCGGCCUAUGGAUAAGCAUCCUUUGUGAUGUAAUCUUAUCACGUGGUUCGUCCCAGACAUAGACAUACCCCUUUGAAGUAGAGAAACCAUAGUUAUCCUCUCUAUUCUGCUACCAUCGCCCAUAUACUAGAUUGCUCUACUCUCUAUUCCCAUAUUAUCACCUAUUGUUAUCUUACCUUUAAUAUUGUUCUUAUUCAAUUCUACCAUCUUUCCUAUUUACACCUAUCUAUCUAUCUUGGUUAAGUUAGAGCGUAGUUGGUUCUCCCGUUUCCCUGUGGAUACGAUAAAACCUUUAACCGGGUAAAAGCUUCAACGGUAUCCGUGCGCUUGCGGAUUAUCUGUGUGCGUAUAAAUACCAUAGUACACUUUAGUGCCAUGCUGGGGAUGACAACCUAGUAUUCAAGUGGUGUUAGCAAGUGUCAACACCCCUGAAGCUGUCCAGAUGCAUACAACACCUUCUCCAAAUCAUUGCACUGUGCUAUGUUCAGUUGCCUCUCCACAGCACGUAACCAAUCAUCUGCCUCCAUGGGAUCAGCUGAGUGUGUAAAUACCGGGGGUCUUCCCUUCAUAAACUCUCCACGCUUGUCCCUCACAUGAACAGGUGGUGGUGUUGGUGGAGGUUGUUGCUGCAGGUGCUGCAUGAAAACGUGCAUCAUCUGAUUUUGGGUUUGCAUGAGUUCCUCCACAGUGAUUGGGCCAUCGCCACCAUUGCCAUUGCCAUUGCCACGGCCUCUGCCUCUUCCUCUGCCUCUUCCCCUUGCUGCCAUCUGCAUUCCAAGGUAUAUAAACACUUCUUAGUAAUGUCCAACAUGACAAUUACAAGAGUUAACGGAAUCUGAAAUUUUCUGGGUAACAUCCAACAUCAGCAGAUCAGAAAAUCAAUCAUAUCUCGAGAUUCAGAAUUCAAAAGAAUACAUGCUGUACAUCGUUGGAAAGAUAAAGAAAUUGUCUACAACUUUCAUUUAGAUCAUAUUACCAGAUUCCAACGUUAGGUUAAUCAAAAACUGGGUACAACCGAAACUGUUCCAGAAUUCCAGACUGUGCAGAAACCUCAACUUUGAACAGUCAUAUCUCCCAGCUCAUAACCGAUAAUAUUGUCAUUCUUGAGGCAUUGGAAAGAUAUGAGAGUCUACUUGUUUCCAGAAAAAUUUGAUGAACAUUGCACGAACAGAUUUUGAGAUGUACCAGAUUCUUUGCAGACUGCUCCAGAAAACAGCAAAGGACAGAAACAGAAUUUUAACCAACCCCAGCUAUAUAGUUCAUUAAUCCUUAUGCCUUAAGCCUAUAAACUAAAUGAAAUUGUAGAGGAAAUCCACAAGAUCAUUUCACUCAUUACAAAGAUCCAAAUUAAGCAUAAGCAUAAUAACAAACCAAACCAAGCAUCAAAGGUUUCACACUUCAAGCAUUGACUCAACUUGCGGUACUAACGUUCUCUUCCUAUUAAGGGUAAAGAUCCUAUACUCCUAUUUCAACAAUGCCAGAAGGUGGUAAGAGAAGGUUCUAAAAGCAUAUUCAAAGCAAGGAGUGGGGAUGAGAACAAGUCUUUAAAAUAAGCAACAAGGUGAGGAUGAAUAGGAUAUAGUGUAGAAGAAAUUAUCAAGGUUUAUAGAGCAAUGAUUUUAUAGCAAUUUCAAAACCUUAAGAUAAUUUCUAACUAGGCUUGCGUCCGACAGUCAACAAAGCUCUGAUACCAAUUUGUCACACCCAUAUUUUAAGAACAAAAUAGGAUGCAUAAAGACUCAUAUGUGCCCCAGGAAUAGUCGCACACAUAAGUAGACAAAUCUCAAAUGUACCAUUGCAGUGUUUAUUACAUAGCGGAACAUAAUAUAUCACAUAGUCUCAUACAAGAAUGAUAGCAUAAAGUAAACAACGCUCUCGACGGAAGCUCCACACAGGGACACUGUUGACUGGUUGACUCCAAACCUAGUACUCAUAACGGUAAUCCUCAUUCCAGCCAUCUUCAUUAUCAUAUCCUGAGGUGUUGGGAAAUUGCAAGAGUGAGCAUAUAUCGUACUCAGCAAGUAUAACCAGGGGUUCAUGAGGCUCAAAUAGCUGACACUGGUUUGACUGCAUUUAGCUUUUAAUAGUGGAUAACAUGUUCAUUAUUAAAUAGCAAUUGUCAAGGUAGCAUAAAUAAUCCAUUAAUCCCAUGAUCAAGUGUAAGCAUAAUUAAUCCAUUGCAUAAACGAUAAUCAAAUGAACAUAACAACUUAAUAAGCUCAUCGUCGGCGCAGCAAGAACCCCCAAGGCCGCUCAUAACCGUGAGCACGGCUAGUAUACCAGUUUUACACUCUGCAGAGGUUGUACAUCUUUACCCAUGAGUCAUGAUUUACCCUUUCGCCCGAGGCCCGUCGAUCUCUUAACCCACUACCAAGGAAGGUCGGCAGGGAUUACUAUGAAGCCUUUCAAAAGUUCGUCUAACAUGUUAGGGCCGCAAGGUUUCCUUUGCGCGCAGAUAUAGAGCCUCCCUUCCGAUGGCACAAUAACUCGCAGCCUAUACUAAUACAGACAGAGGCCACACUAUACCCAAAACGGUUCAGCCCCUCCGCCCUUUCGGGUAACCUCUAACAAGCUAGAAAAGGGUUUCAUACUGAGCUAAAGCCAGAGCCAUUAUAGCCCUCAUGGUUGCACUGUUGUCCCGGUGAUCACUUACACACAAGAUCUCAUACAGUUAUUUGUCAUUCUUUUAUGUUCAUUGCAUAGCUAUUAAUCAUCUCACAAGAUCAUGGAUUAUAUCAAGCACUAGCACCUCUACAACAAAUGCAUAUCAAGUAGGUAAUAAGGAAUACAGGUAACAAACAUCUAUGAUUUUGCUAAGGUCGACAAGGUGAUAGCAUGCAUAUGAUAUAUAUGUGUAGUUAUAAGUGAAUAGGUAACAAGGAUGAUCCCAAGUUAUACUUGCCUUGGUCAAAGCUCUCCUGAGCCUGCUAGUCCUCAAAAGCUUGGUCUUGAUCACCAACGUACGGCUCUCCGUCUAUUCCCAAUCAUCAAUCAACAACACGCAAUCCAAUGUAGACAAUCAUACACAAAGCAAACAAGCUAUUUUUAGAACAAUAUACCAAACAGUAGUAAAACAAAUGUAAAAGUUUAUAAAAAUAUUCUACGCAGCGAUACGAUCACACAAACGUAAAGUUCACGAAAAUCGGAAUUAAAACGUGAAAGAUAUGAAUUUUCUAACAUUUCCUAUAGAGAAAUAAUUAAUUAAAUGCUACUGCAGAAUUAAAAAGUUUCAAAGCAGUAAACUAAUACUUCUAACAUGUAGAGAUCGUAAAUACGAAUCUAACGAAAUUUGAAUGGAUAAAAACGGAGUUAAAAUGAGUAUUUUAUGAGCAUUACAAAAUCAGUGGCAUUUCUGUAAAUACUGGAAAGCGCAUUUAGGUUUCAGCCGACAGGAAUACGCUUUUAAAACUGGAAAACGUAAACUUGGAAAAUACGUGAAGAUCGCGGGUUCUAUUUUGGAAUUCUUUGAGGGCUCUUUAACAAAAUACCCCCCCUGAAGGGGUAUUUUCUAAUCUCCACCGCCCACGGCCGAUCCAACGGCCGAGAUUCAGCGAGGAAGGGAACCAGGCAGCGGCCGGCCGCCGGAAGCCAAGCACGGCGCGGCGGCGCCAUUGGUAACGCCUCGGAGUUCGCCGUCGACCUCGGUUUCUGCGGAAACAAGCACCAAACUCCGAAUAAAAGGUACCGGGAGUUGGAGAAACGCUUCGCGAACUCACCUAGAUGGUUUACUCGGGCCGAGAAGCGACGAAAACGGCGCACCGCGCGCGGCGAUGGAUAUGACUCACGGCGAGAUCCAAACCGCGCAGACACGGUAGCUAGGGCUCGGUUUAGGCGACUUGGAUGCGAAAGGAGAGCUUCGGGGUUGGUUUGAGAGCUUUAUAGGGGCAUGACACGCGGAUUGGGAAGGAAUCCCGAGGAAACCGGGAUUUCCCUGUUCGUUCGGUGGAGUCUCCGGUUCUGUUACGGUGGAGAAGAAGGGAAAGGUGGGAGGGGAGGCUGACUUGCGGGUCCCGCGUGACAGCGAGAAGGGGAAGGGGAGGCGCGCGCCUGGGCCGCGGUUGCUGGGCCGAGCUGGGUUAGCCGGGCUGCGGGGGCAAGCAGGCCGGGAGGGGUUGGCUGCGGGGUUCUUUCCCCUUUCUUCUUUUUUUUCUAUUUUAUUUUUCAAAGCCCUUUUCAAAUAGAAUUUUGAACACAAUUAACUUCAAUCCAAAAUCUCACAGCACAAAUAAAAAUAUGCCCCAGUAUGAAUGCAAAUUCAUGUUUCUAAACUUAUGAUAAAUUUUAAUUUGCACAAAAUUAUUUAUUUGCUAGAUUCAAAUGCUCACAAAAAUACUUAAAUAAAUCAAUUUAAUUCCUAUAACUUGGAAACCAGAUUUUGGGUGUUACAUUAUUAUACUUGCUCUAAGAAUCAAACAUGCCCUAAUUAAGAUAAGUUCUAACAAGUGUCAAUAACUUAUCCACAGCGUAAAACAGCAAGAGCCAAGCUGAAUCUGUAAGAUACAUUUGCGUGUGGGAUGGGACGCAGUGUAUUUUGCAGUCAAUCACCAGGUUCAUGUGUGGUAUAGGGGUGUUUAGUUAGGGCUGUUUAAGUUUAACACGUACUUAGCAUUUUUAUUUUAUUUGGUAAUUAGUGUCCAAUUAUAGACUAAUUAGGCUUAAAGAUUCGUCUCGUAAAUUAUUCUCUAAUUAAAAUUUUAAUUUUGUAAAUAGUUUAUAUUUAAUACUUCAUGCAUAUGUCAAACAUUCGAUGUGAUAGAUAAUAACACUAGUAUAGAAACGGUCUGUACUCCCGGUUGAGAAACACCUUUAGUCCUGGUUUUCAACCAGGAGCACCAAUCUGGGACUAAACGUGAGCACCUUUAGUCCCGGUUGUGCGCCUCGGAAUAAAAUUCCACCUUUAGUUCUGGUUGGUUAUAACAAUCGGGGCUACAAGGGCACUCUAGGUUUGUCCACAUGACAGGAUAUUUAGUCCCGGUUGGUAGUUGGUAUUAGCAACCCAGAGUAAAGAUCUUUUUUCUUUUAUAUUUUUUUUAAUUAAUGAUUAGUUUUGAUAUUAUAACAGGAUUCAUUGUACAACAUAGUUAUAAAUAACAAAUGAUUAUACAUACAUAUGAUUACACAUUAUUUUAUGUAUACAUAUAGAAUGUAUAUAUAUAUAUAUAUAUAUUACAUAGCUUUGCAUAUACAUAUAAAUUCAUAUCCUUGGCAUAAUAAUUCACUCUUGAUUUGACUUCCAUAUUUUGUUCGGGUUAUUGUAGAACUUGCCGUUUGGGUCGAUGACCUGGUCAUUUAGAAAUCCGGCUAUAGUCUCUUGAAUUGCUUUAAUUUGGUCUCAUCGUAUGACUCUUUCCUUCAACCAAUCAGUCUUCAAUAAAAGUAAAAGAAACAAUUAUUAAUAUAUAUAUGUGUGUUGAUAGUGAUUACUUAUGCAGAUGAGAGAGUAAUAAAGAAAUUGUGAAUACACAAUGCAAACAAUUAAUACAAUUAAAGGAAAAAGGUAUUUAUAUAUAUACGUACUUUGAGGAAUUCUUCUAGAGUUCUGUUUGAGUACGCCAUGAUGAACUCACAAAUGUAGUAUCUGGAGUAGUUGUUCCCCUGCUCCUGUCUUAGAACCCAUUUUUACGACAAAAAAUCAAUUAGUUAGGUGAAUUGAAAUCAUCAUAUAUUAUAAAAUGAAUAUAAACGUAGUUAUAGUACUUACUUUGUGUGCGAUUAUAUCCAGUGGCGUUUUGCAAUGAUUCAUUUUUUGUUUCUCAAUGAACUUUUUUCAAACCCUGUGCCCUAUAAAAACAUAAUUGAUCCUUUAAUAAUUGUUGACAGAUCGGCACCAUUAUAUAUAGUUUUUAUAGAGAAACUAAGUUAAUUACCCUUGAAUAAUAUCUAUCAUAUCUUGAUAGUACGUUUUGGGUUUUCUUAAGGAGUCUAAGAUUUUCAAUCUACUAUUGGUCAUAUCGAUGAUCAUCAAUAUCCAGUGAUUGCUGCAUAGACAUAACUUAUUAGGUACCUAUAAGGAAAUAAUCAAUUGAACAAAUAAUGUCCCAUGUGAUUGAUAUUUUAAUUACCAAACACUUACUUGAAGUUGUAGGGGAAGAGUAUGUCCUUCUUGUUGCGUUGGUUCACUAAGAACACCAUAAGAUUCUUCUCUUGUUUAGGAUUAUAAUCACGUGGGGGGUUAGGAUGUCUGUAUACGACAUAUGGAUCAACGAAACCAACAUUAUUAUCAUUUCUCUUUCUUAGUUCUGCCAUUUGAUAUCUGCAUAUAUAGUGUGAGAAUAAUAUAUAUAUAUAUAUAUAUAUGUGUGUGUGUGUGUGUGUGUGUGCGCGCACAGACUCUAAUAUAGUUGAAAAUAAUCACACACUUACAGGCAAUAGCAGCUAAUGAGACUUUUGUCGAGCGAGUCCAGGCGGCAUAGUUGGUGUAAUUCAAGAAACUCGACAUAGAUAAUGUCAUUGCCACAAAAGUAAUGUUGGUUUCUAAUUCUGACAGAAAGAAAGAUAUGUCCCCCGGCCUUUUAGACGCCUCCAUGUACCACAGGUUUAGCAAGUACAUUGGCGUACCUAGUUCACCUAAUUUCUUAGAGUUGUAAAGACUCUGGCCUUGUUUAUAUUUCCUAUAAGGAUCCACUUCCGAAGCAUAUGGUCCUUGAGCAAGCACUGCGGCAAGGUCCAAACCAGUGUCCUUGUAAAAUUGAUGAAAUCCAUCUAAGCCGACCUCCAGUAUAUUUAAGUUUGAACCAUAUUCGUUAGGAACGAUAGGGGGGAUUGAUAGUUGUGAUUGUUGCUCGAGUUGUGCAACACCUUUCCCUGCUCUCUUUUUUGUGCUGCCUCAAAUGACUUGGUGAGAGAGCGUUCAUAGUCUGUUUGUUUAAUGGCUGACUUAAGAGACUCUCGUUUUCUUUGUCCACCUUCUUUCUUAGCUGAUCCGGACGUAGAUAGAAGUAUGUUGGCUCUGGCUUCCCUUUUGCUAGUCAUGCCAUUUUUACACCUUCGAAGUAAUCAUGCACUUCUUUUUCUACUGCAUCCUUUAAUCUUGUUGGGAAUAUGCCCUAGAGGUAAUCAUAGAGAUGAUGAUAUUACGAUUGUAUCCAUGACAUAUAUUAUGAGUUUGAUGAAUAUCCAUUAUAGACAAACUUGUAUUGAUUGACAAUUAUAUGAAUUGUUUGUGAAACUCUUUUACUUGUAUGGAUAUUCUAAAGUUGUCCCUGAUAAGAGUUUGUGUGAGGACACACAUGAAUAUUAGAUUAGCAUAUGUAUUAGUUGAUGACUAUGUUUCACAAGUCAUAGACAUAGAGUUGUCAAACUAAUAAUGUGGGCACAUGUAUGACAUGGGGCUGGACUGACCCAACAUGAGAUGUUAUUAUCUCUUUAUGCAUCAUGUACGUUAUGUCCUUAGACCUAAGAUUGUUGUAUGUUCUCAAGAUGUGAAACGACCUACUUAGGAACUAUUGAAUGCUACUUUGUAACAGGGUACUUAUAAAUUGGUCUUCGAGUUUGUUGGGAAACAUGUUGUGAGACAUAGAUGAUCAAGAUGUAACUUGCCCCUCUCUAUGUGAGAGAGAUAUCACUGGAUCACUCAAGUGAUUGGAUCAACAAAUGCAUGGCCGUGCUUGGGUUAAAUGUUAACCCACGAGUUGGACCAAAUAUCAUGUGGCAAGGGAAUAACAUGAAUAUAUAUGUAGUGGUUCGUCUGAUAUGAUCUUUGCAUGCGUAUAUGAGUUGUCAUGCCUUGCUAGAGGUUGUUGUCAACUAUUGGGUAAGUUGGAGUACUCAGCCCAUGUCUGUAUGUAUGUGAACCCAUAGGGUCACACGCUUAAGGAGCUAGAAGCCUAAUUUGGGUUGGAUCCGAAUUAGACAAGGCUUAAGAUUUUCUAAUUGGGCCUCUAACUCGGGGCUAAUUGGAGGAUGCCUAUAUAAGAGAGGGAGGGGGCACAACCAGGAUUCAAAUCAUGCUAUUAGGCAGCCGCCGCCGCUCACCCAUGCUCGCGCCUAUUGCUCCUUGUGGACCUAGCAGUUCGGAGGCGCAAUGCUUCUUCCCCGCACAUGUGGGAUACCUAGGAGGUGCUGCAUUUGGAGCACAAGGAUGAACCGUGUGAGAGGGAUUGAUGUGGUGGACGACCACGCAACUACACGACACUGCUACUUUGUGCACGACUACACCGAGUCGCUUCUCCUACACCUACACGUCUAGUGGUAAUCUCAUGAUCUAUAAUUAGCAGUUGAUCCGGUUUUAUGAGGUCAAAAUUUUUGUUUCCUGGCUAGCGUAAUGUCGUCAUAAUCCUUCAAAUUUGGCAUCACUUUUCUCAUAAGAUAGUUUCUAGGAAAUAACUGGAUGAGUUUGGCGCCUUUGAUCUUCUUUGCCACUGCAUAGGACAAUGGCUUCGUUUGUGGGGCGGGCCUCUUAGGAGUUGGCCUCCUUGGAGGCAGGGAAGGCGAUGUACACUUCCUUAGAGGCGGCGAGGGAGUUGGAGACUUUCUUGGAGGAGGUAGAGGAGUUGGAGACUUCCUUGGAGGUGCCGAAGGAGUUGAGCUGGUGGGGAUGCAUCACUUCCUUUGAAGACAUCAUCAUUGCCCAGAGCACUAUGUUGAUUCGAGGAAGCAAUAAUUGGACUUAGGUUGGCGGAGGCCUUGCUUUUGUUCAUAUAAUUAAAUUGUUUAUAUUAAUCGUGCCCAAAGGUAAUUAGUAAAAAAUUGUUUGAUUAACUUUUGUUCAUACCUAAUGUAUGCUCACGGUGGGGUAGACACCUCGGGGAUAAUGAUGUAGCGUUGCACCAUAAUAUGUAUGCCUUCUCUGCUUCUCCUAGAGUCUUCUCUCCAUCACCUCCAGGAAUGUCAAGAUCUACAUUGUUAUAACCUUUGCUCACUUUAUCCACUGAGACGAUAGCAUAUCUAGGUGGUAUUAAUGCCCCAUGGAUUCUUGGUGUCUUGGUAGGGUUUGGAGGAUUAUAAACACCGACAAUGACAUUGAUUGUGUCAUUUCCUCUUGGAAUAUGUAGCUCAAUUGAUGUCAUUGGUGUCAUGACAUCAUCCACGGGGAAUCACAGUGUUGCACCAUCGUGAUUUGGCAGCUCAGUGGAAGCACAGAUGCUUUUCAACUGACUAGGGGGGCUAAUAUUAACAUUCAUGUUUGGAUCUGAUGCCUGCCUCUAGACACUAAUUGCUAUCUGCACUUGCCUUUUGAUUUCUUCAUGCAUUCUUUCUUUCAAUGCUUUGGCUCGCUCUUCUGCUUGAAACAUCGCUUGCUCUAACAUUCUGUUACACGCUGCUUCCUCCUCCUUCCUUCUCUAGCAGCUUCGAUAGGUUUCCCUAUCAUUAGGGAAACCAUGCACCCAUAAAGUGUCGUGUCCUAAACCUCUAGUUCGGCCACUGUGUUCACCAGUUCUGAUAGCAUAGGUCAACUCAUCCUUCUCUCUAUUAGGCUCAAACGCACCAAUCUCUUUAGCUUGUAUAGCAUAAGCCAAUCUUUCUACAACUAUUUGAAGUUUUUGCCCAUACACUGCUACCUUUGGUCUUAGGGUCGAGUCUUCCCCCAUGACCAAAAAACCAAAUUUUCACGCGUUGAGGUCACUUGGCUGAUUUUGGUUUGAUCCCCUUGGCAAUAAUGUCUGCUUCCAUUUUUUGCCACUUGGGAAUGGUCUCGUAUCCACCUGAUCCCAUGUCAUGGUGGUAUACUUUUUAUUUUUACCCGUGCCUCACCCUCUAUCGAUGUCUUGAACUAUACAAAAUCAUUCCAAUAGGGCCUCAACUUCGCCAGACGACCCCUAGUAGUAUUGAAAUUUGGCGUUAUGUUCUUCUUGAUGUAUGUGUUGUAUAGGGUUUUCUUCCAAGUCUAGAAUGGUGUAGACAUCUUCUUCAAAGCCCAUUUACAAAUUAGCUCCUUCAAUUAUGUGAAAUGUUGAAGGAUAUCAUUCCACAGCAAAUUCUUGUUAAGAUCAGAGACAAAACUAACAUCAGGGUUAUUGAUCUUUUGCUUCCAUUCACGAAUACUGAUUGGAAUUCUGUCCCUUACAAGGUACCCACAAUGUUCCACAAAUUUCCUUUUAUGUGGACCAAGUGGUUCGCCUAUCUUGAUGUUGAAUUCUGAUAUUAUGUACCGCCCCUCAAGUGGUUUUUUUGGCCUCGAACAUUUCUGCUCUUCGUGAUUGUGGUCCUCGAUUCAGAGGGCUAUAUAUACAAAAAUAAAAAUAUGAUAUGCACGCACAAGAGAUGAUAGCUACAUAUUUAAAUAUAUUUACCUUGCUAGUAUUCUCUUGCUCAUUUUCAAGAGCUAGGUAUUGACUUUCAUCAUCAACAUCUUGCUUGUCAUCAUUGAAAAUAAAUUGAGUACCGUUGUAGAUAAUACUCAUCAUUUCUUCAUCCAUGUUGUCUCCUAGAAGAGCCAUAUCUAACAAAUUUUAAGUCGUAUACCUAAAAUAUAUAAGUGACAUUCAUAUACAAGUCAUUUACAUCGAAUAUAUAUAUAUAUACAAAACUUAUACACAAUAAUUCAUAUACCUAAAAUAUAAUAUAAGUGACAUUCAUAUACAAGUCAUAUACAUCAAAUAAAUAUACAUAGUGAUAUUCGUAUAUAAGUCAAGCAUUAAUAACAUCAAAUAUAUAUAGCAAUUUUUAUUAAGUGAUUCACAUAUACAAUCUGCAUUCAUAUAUACAUCGAUCACGGCAGCCGGCGACCGAGACGAGAGACAGGGAGACGAGCCGCGCGCAGGGAUGACGAGACCGUGGAUCAACAAGUCGUGCAAGGACAGGGACGAGCCGCGUGAGGAUUUUGAUGGCCGAUGAGGAGUGUGCGGGCCAAGGACGAGGUUGAUCGAUGGAGCACGUGGUCGGGCUGCAAGAACGAGCUCGGUCGAUGGAGCUCCAUGCAUGAGGACAACGGAGCGUGUGGUACGAGGAUGCGGAGUAGCCGAGGACAAGCUCGAGGGAGGCGUGCGCACAUGGUGGUGGCUGGCGAGGUCGUGUGCGGUGGCGGCAGCGAUGGGAGCGGCAGCAGUUUGCUAGGGUUAUCGCGUUGUGUGUUUUGGCCGGAGAUGAAAGAAUAGGUCACCCGUUGUGCUUUAUAUAGGGGGUUGACUUGUUGUCCUGAUCGCAGCCAAAAACUGGGACUAAAAGACCUUUAGUCCCAGCUUGUAACACCAACCGGGACUAAAGGUAUUCUAAAGGUAUGACCUUUAGUCCCGGUUGGUGUACGAGCCGGGACUAAAGAUCCUUUUUGGCGGACCACCAAAUGACCUUUAGUUUCGGGUUUCAUCUACGGCUAGGACUAAAAGACUUUUAGUCUCGGUUGAUAUUACCAUGCGGGGACUAAAGGCCUAUUAUGCUUUCACUUCUCGCCAGCAUUUUGGAUGCCAUUAUUUUUUUAUAUUUCAUUUUAUACAAAUAGUAUAUUCUUGUUAAUUGCACAGUAAAUUAUAUAUAGGGCAUAAAAUUAUUUAAAACACAACUAUGGAUUUGAGUUUGCUUUAUUGCACAAAGGAAGUUUAUGUGACCUAAUUUUUUUAGUUUGCUUUAUAAGUAUUAAAAAAUGUAGUGUUUUAAUUUCUAUUUCUAUAAUGCAAAAAUGUGGUGUUUAAUUAAAAUAAAAAACUCCUAUAUUUCUACUAAAAAAUUGUUUUCACAUUAUUUCAACGUUAAUGUUUUAAUUUUUUAUCUCUCAUUGUUGAAAUACAAGACAUAAUACCACUAUUAAAUACUGAAAAAUACAAGACAUAAUGCCACCAUCACAAUUAUUACACAAUAAUAUCUAUUACACACUAUAACAUCAGUAUAUAUUAUGCGGGCACUGUAGUGAACUUCCUUUUGACGUAUGUUCCUUCGUUAUGAUCGUGUUGUAACCAUAGAGUGUCCUUAUCAUUUAGUAGGAUACUUAGGUCUUUGUUCACUAUAAAGGGUUAAAGUUCGGUCAUCUUUUUCAUAAUCUUCUGACAUAUCUGAUUUGUCCUUGAUUCCUGUCGACGAAAGCUAGUCGGCAGUCUACCUUGGGGUAUACCCACGGUAGUAGUUUAUCGGUAGACGGUGCGCAAACUACGAACUCGAUGGUGACGCAAGACACGGACAAGCUUUUUAUCCAGGUUCGGCCGCCGAGUUGGCGUAAUACCUACGUCCUGCGUCUGGUUGUAUUGAUUUGUGCUGAGAGAAUAUGAUGUCCUAGGGGGGUCCCUUGCCCCUCCUUAUAUAGUCUGGAGGGCAGGGUUACAUAUCUAGAAACUAAUCCUAGUCGGUUACAAUUGCCAUAGAUAAUUCGAUAUCAAUUCCUAUUCUAACCGACUAGAAUCCUGCUUGAUCUCCACGUCUUGUUUCCUUGUGCGAAACUCCGAGCUGUCGGAUCAAGCCUUGAACUCGUCUCGUAGUGGGCCAAGCUUCCUGGCUAAAGUCUAACCGUAAGGGUAUAGGGGUUUAUACCCCCACAGCUAGUCCCCGAGCACCAUGUAUUGUGAUGCAACACGCCGUCUUGGGCUUCUUCGAUCAGCGAGGCUUGUCGUCUUCCGUAAGUGGGAAAAUCGCCCAAACAGUUGCAACGGUUCUUUGACCAACUCGAAAGACAGUUGAUCAACAUUGACGUCGAAGAAACAGGUUGUUCGAAGAAUGCAUGGUGCUCUAAAAAAAAUUUCUUUCCUGGUGAAGUGUGCCCACUUUACCUUCUUGAAAGGUAGUAGCAUCAAAAAAGCAAGCAAAUUCACCGCUAGGUGAAGUGUGCCCACUUAGUCCCCGAGCCUGGUAGUAGGUGACGUAGGCACGUGGUGCCAGGGUCAAAAGAAAAUUCCCCAAAGUAGUUUUGAGACUAAGAUGCAUCGCUAGAUGCAUCGUACCGAUGUAGACCCCGAGCUUGCUGGAAGGCGAAGUAUGAGCCUUGUAGCAAGGUCUAAAAAAAAUUGAAUUUACCAGUCCCCGAGCAUGUCAUGCUCGCUUGCAAUUGAAAAGACCAAUCGACCAGUCCCCAAGCACUUAGCGUGCUUCUUGGAAUUAUAUGUUGCUAUACUGUACGACCAAUCCCCGAGCAUCGAGUGCUCAGCGGUCGGUGCAUGCUUUAAAGCUUUGAGCUCAUAGAAUGAGCGACCAGUCCCCGAGCGUCGAGUGCUCGGUGGUCGGUGCAGGCAUUGAAGUUCCGAGCUAAUAGACUGGGCGACCAGUCCCCGAGCGUCGAGUGCUCGGUGACCGGUGCAGUCCUUGAAGUUCUGAGUUGGUAGACUGGGCGACCAGUCCCCGAGCGUCGAGUUCUCGGUGGCCGGUGCAGUCCUUGAAGUUCUAAGUUGAUAGACUGGGCGACCAGUCCCCGAGCGUCGAGUGCUCGGUGGUCGGUGCAGUCCUUCAAGUUCUGAGCUGAUAGACUGGGCGACCAGUCCCCGAGCGCCGAGUGCUCGGUGGUCGGUGCAGUCCCCGGGUUGUUGACUCACUGGCGUAUAUGUCUUCUUACUUUUGAAAAGAUCUUUCCAAUUAAAAUUGUCGUGACGAGGUCUCCUGACAAUAUGUCAGACGGAUGCAUGAAAAGUUGCGCCUGGCAACUGUACAACCGCUCUUUGCAUGGUUUGAGAAAAGGAAACCAUCAAUUGGUAUGAAAACUCCGCCGCAUUAAUUAUCUAUAAUCAUUGUAAACCGAAACGCCGCGUCCGCCGCAUGGCCUGCCCACUUCCCGAGAAUACAGGAAGUGGGAGAGGUGGGGUCGCGGGUUUAUAAGGGCCUAACAGGACCGCCUGUACCGCUUCGCCUGCCAUUGCCUUCAAACCUUCCGCUCUCAUCUUCUCCAAUCUCCUGCAUCUUCCUAACUCCAGCCCACAUUCGCACCUCUGAUGGCGAAGAGCGACUCCAGGAAGAGGGCCGAACUGAUGGCCAAGGAGUGGAAGAAGUCCCGCAGCACCACAAAAUCUCUUGGUGACCUCGUCGAUAUGGGGCUUCUGCACGGCGCAGAGCUCGGCGGCUGGAGGGCGCCGGAGGGGGAGAGCUACCCCGACCCUCGCGCCGGUGAGAUCGUCGUUUUUGAGGAUUUCGUUAAGAGAGGCUUUGGUGUUCCUGUUCAUCCUUUUCUUCAAGGUCUUCUUUUGUACUAUGAGAUCGGGAUUUGCAAUCUGCACCCGAACUCAAUUCUCCUUAUUUCCACCUUCAUCCAUCUGUGCGAGGCCUAUGUUGGCAUAGAGCCGCACUUCGAUCUUUUCCGGUACCUUUUCUGCUUGAGGAAGAAGGGAGCAGUUGGAGGCUCCAAGGUUGCAGGUGGAGUAUACCUCAACCUUCGUGAUGGGAUGAAGAAUCGCUACCUGCACUGCCCAUGGAACACUUCCUUGACCGAAUGGUACAAGAAGUGGUUCUACGUCAGGGAGGAACCGGGCAGCUCCACGUUCUGCGACGUGGGGUACAUUCCCGAGAAGAGGACGAGCUGGACCGACCGCCCAGAGUUCGACGGUCAAGUGGCGGAUCUGAUGAAGCUGAUCGACUGGUCGCGCCUGGAUGGGCUUGGCGUGGUCGGCAACUUCAUUUGCCGCCGGGUGAUGCCCUGUUAGAAGAGGGUGCACUCGGCGUACGAGUAUGCCGGAAGCGCAGACCCGACCAGGAUGCGGUCGGAGAUCUUGGAGAAAGCGGAGGUACAACAGCUGUUGAACGAGCUGUUUAACUUCGCGGAUGGGGGCUUCAUCCGUGGCAGUGAUCGGGUGCAAGCCUUCAAGUUAGGACGACCAGCACCAAAGGUAUGUAGCAGACUCUGUUUGAUCAUUCGUAUAUCGUCUGCAGUUGACUCAUCUCUGUUGCUUUUGCAGGUCGGUGAUGUCGACCGGUGCGUGGUGUAUGCAUCACUGGCGCCGGGGAUGGAAAAUCCUGCGGGAGAGGUCCCGCCAGAGGAGGACGCUGCUCGGUGUACUCAUUACACCAGCAGUGAGGAAGACCGAGCCCGCCCCGUCCCGACCUCCGAGGAGAGGGUAGCGGGGAAAAGGCCAUUGCCGGCGGAUCCCUUGCCGACACCGGAGCUGCCGGCAGACCUACCGGCGGAGAGCAGCCAAGCGCCGAAGCGUCGUCGGCUCGUGCGGAUCGUCGACGACGAUGACGACGACGAGGAGGCUGCGCCGUCGUUGGUCCGACGGCCUCGGAGCCGCCCAGACACUGCGCCGGUCGCCACUGAUCGAGUGGCCAGCGGCGCCGCUGCCCCGCGAGUUGCCGAGGUGGGGGCACAGGUGCCGACCGGCCGGGCGAGGAGGAGGUUCACCGCGACCCAUCGUCGGUCAGACCUGUAAGUGUUCGACUUACGUAUUUUGGACUUCUCUUUUUUUUUAACUUUUGUUCCUGCAGUGCGGCAUCGGAUGUCGACCCUGGCCAAACUGCCGGCCAGGGAAUGGGCGAGCCUGCCCGCGGUUCUGGGGAUGCAGCCCCCCAGACCACAGAGCAGCCAACAGCUGCAGUCGCGCCUGGGAGCACCGAGGGGCUCCCGAGCGCGGCGCCGACAACAAGCAGCCCGACCAGGACUGGAGAGGCUCCCCCAACUGACUCCUCGGAGAAGGGGAGAUCUCCGACCGCUCCUCCUGCCGGGGGGAGUGAAGUCCCCCCGCUGCCCCGAGCAGGAGCCUCUUCGGCUGCGGGCUCCCCAGGUCUGGUCCAAGGGCCAGUAAUGCCUGGGACCGCCACCGGGGGUGACGCAGCACAGGAGGAAGAAACCCGGGCGGCCUCCGACGACGAGGUGGAGGAGAUCGAGGGUCGUCCCCGUGAUGGCCGCCAACACGUGUAUGUGUGGCGCCAACGCGGGGAUCACUUUAUCGGUCAUGAGGAGGUCGCCGAGACCGAAGAGGCCGCCAGGGUGGAGCGCGCGGCCAAGCGCCUUGUCGACGAAGUCAAGGUAAGCGGCUUUUUGUACUGCUGCGCAUUCUUUUGCCUUGUCUUGCUUGAUCGUUAUAUGCUCGCUUUGUAGGACGUAAUGAAAACGGCGAAGUACCGGAAACGGUGCUUUGACCAGAUAGAAGGCGUCAUGGCCGAGAACAAGGCCCUUGCCGCGGAGGUAGACCGGUUGCGGGCGGAGGUCGGGGAGAAGGUGGUCGAGAUGAGCGCCGAAAAGGAGCGUCGUCUCGACCUUGCUCGUCGUCUGGCCGACCAGUACCGGCUGCAGGAAGGUUAGUCACAUGCUCCGAGCAGUUUCGCGUACUUGUAUAGUUUGCUUUGCUGAUCAGUUUAGUAUUCACGCAGACUUGGAGGAGGAGGUGGCGAGCCUCCAACAAGAGAAGGAGCAGCUCAGCCAACAGCUCGCCGGUGCUCAGGAGUCCGGGCGGCGAGCGGAAGAGGAAUUGGGUCGAAAAGACCGGGAGUUAGCUGGUAAUGGGUGCCGCCUUGCUGGUUGCUGCCUGCCCCUUUGCUUGUCUGGUAUGCCGAAAGUAACGUUUCGUUUCGUUUGCAGUGCUCAAGGUGAACACCAAAAAGCACCUGGAUGACCUGGUCAAGGACCGGGACUCCUGGAAGGCCAUCUGUUGCAGGAUCUGGAAAGGAGUGUCCCCGGUCCUAGAUCUGCUCAGCCCCGAGCUCCCGGAGAGCCAGCCCCGCGCGCCGCAGUUGACCCCGGUCGAGAAGGCGCAACGGGCGUGGGACUGGCUCCAGCAGUUUGUGAAGGACGCCGGGGAAUUUGCCGGCGCGCACGUCCUCAGCAUGGUGCGCGCCCACUACCCCCUGGUCGACUUGAGCAGGCUGGAGAAGGGGUACCCGAAGGAAGUCGGCCCACAGGAAGCGGACGAACUUCGGGGUAGUCUGCUGGACUUGUCGUCGACGGUGAUCGGCGACAUCAAUCUGUGCGGAACGGCCACUCCUCCAGACCAGCCGAGCUCAGAUAGGUCGGCCAGGGAGUUGUCGGGCGCGUCCGUUGCGGGAGAUGGGCGGUCGACGCCUGCGGUCUCGACCAGCCAGGCGUCGGUGGCCCCGACCCCUUCGUCCGGGCAGCAGGGCCAGGCGGGUGAUCAGCCCGAGUAGCUAGGCCAAUAAAGUAGUCUGUAGGAAUAGACUAGUGUUUGCCCGUCAGGGUAUUUAUUGUAAACUUUGUAUGUAAAGUUUGUAAUAAAGUUUGCUUUUUGUCAUGACUGUUGUUUUGAGCGCUGUAAGAAUAUCUGAGUGACGUGUCACUGCAUUUGUCUUGGUUGUCGCUAAGAGCAUCCGUUGCAGGAGUUUUGCCAAGUGCUGUAUGUGACAAGGUAUGGGCCAAAAAUAGAGAAUUUCAUUAUCAAAAAUUAUAAGAUACUUACAAAAGAAAGUCAUUAAAACUUUAUGGAUAGAAACGUCGCAGUUUGUCGAUGUGCCAAGAAUUAGGCACUCGUGUUCUGUCUGGGUAUGCCAAUCUGUAGGACGUAGGGCGUGUGACCUUGGUCACCACGAAGGGUCCUUCCCAGGGGGUGGAUAGCUUGUGCAUUCCCUCCUGGCUUGUUUUCCAUCAAAGCACCAGAUCGCCGACCACGAAGGAACGGUCCUUGACGUUCCUGUUGUAGUAUCGCCUGACUGCUGCGAGAUAUUUUGCUGUUCGGAGACACGAAACUAAACGCUUCUCCUCCAUGCAAUUGAUUUCGAGUUCUCUGGCGUUGUCGGCGGUCGCCUGGUCGAAGUGCUCGAUUCUAGGAGAUCCGAAGUGUAUGUCAGACGGCAAGACCGCCUCUGCGCCGUACACCAUGAAGUAGGGAGACACCCCUGUGUUUCGACUGGUCUGAGUUCGGAGGCCCCAGACUACUGCCGGCAAUUCUUUCAUCCAUCGACCGGGUGCUCUGUCGUUCUCGGUGUACAACCUUUUCUUUAGGGCGUCGACGAUCAUUCCGUUAGCACGUUCAAGUUGACCGUUGGCACGUGGAUGUGCCACUGACACAUAUUUUAUGACUAUGCCUCUGUCAUCGCAGAAAUCCCAAAAAGUGGUGCCAGUAAACUGAGUGCCCAGGUCGGUGAUUAUGCUGUUCGGGAUGCCGAAUCUGUGUAUGAUUUGAUUGAGGAACUCCACAGCCUUCUCGGAGGUUGCCUUGACCAGGGGCAUGUAUUCAAUCCACUUGGAGAACUUGUCGAUUAACACGAAGACAAACUUGAAGUUGCCCGGGGCUGGUUUAAAUGGUCCGAUCAUGUCAAGCCCCCAGCAAGCAAAGGGCCAAGACGACGGGAUGGUUUGAAUUUCAUGGGCAGGUACGUGGGUCCUCUUAGCGAAAAACUGACAUCCUUCGCAAUGCCGAACCAGUUUUUCUGCGUCGCUGACCGCGGUUGGCCAAUAAAAACCUGCUCGGAAAGCCUUUCCGACCAGAGUUCUAGAUGCGGCGUGGUUGCCGCAGGAUCCGGCGUGUAUGUCCUCCAAGAGCUUGAUACCAUCGUCUUGGGGUAUGCACUUGAGCAGUACCUCGGAGCUUGCGUUUUUCCGCAUGAGUUUUCCGUCGACCAGGAUGUAGUUCUUUGAUCGUCGGAUGAGACGCUCGUUCUCUGUUUUGUCCUGAAAACCUGUCCCGUCUGAGAUGUAUUUGAUGAACGGGAUACGCCAGUCACGCCCACCGGUUGUCGGAGUGGCGUCAUCUAUGAGCAUUGCCUCGGUGGGUUGCUUGUUGACCAGGGGGGAGCUUACGCUCGGCUCGUGGAUGUCCUGGACGAAAAUACCCCGCGGGAUUUGGGCCCGAGACGAGCCUAACUUUGACAACGCAUCUGCUGCUUGGUUCUUAUCCCGGACCACGUGGAUGUACUCUAUGCCAUAGAAGUUAGUUUCCCAUUUGCGAAUUUCUUUGCAGUAGAGAUCCAUCUUCUCGUGGGUUGCGUCCCACUCCUUGUUGAGCUGGUUGAUGACCAAAGCGGAGUCGCCGUAGACAUAGAGGCGCUUGACCCCCAGUUCGACGGCUAGUCGUACGCCAUGUAAGCAAGCUUCGUAUUCGGCGACAUUGUUUGACGCCGGAAAAAGGAUCCGAAGGACGUAGCGGAGUUUGUCCUUGUUUGGUGAUACGAACAAUAUCCCAGCGCCUGCGCCGUUAAUGUUCAAGGACCCAUCAAAGAACAUUGACCAGUGGUCUGAGACAUCUGGAACGGAAGGCUCGUUGAGAUCCGUCCAUUCGGCAAUGAAGUCGACCAGGGCUUGAGACUUGACAGUGGUACGACUCUGGAACUCUAGGGAAAAUGGACAUAAUUCCAUUGCCCAUUUCACGAUUCUGCCAUUGGCGUCUUUAUUGCGCAGGAUGUCCCCGAGAGGAAAGCUGGUUGUCACCAGGACUCGAUGGCCGUCGAAGUAGUGCUUCAGCUUUCUUGACGUUAUCAGGAUGGCGUAUAUAAGCUUCUGUAUUUGUGGGUACCUGGCCUUGGAUUCGUUUAAAACUUCACUUAUGGAGUAAACGGGUCUCUGGACCUUGAAGACGUGACCUGGUUCAUCUCGCUCGACCACUAUUGCCGUGGAAACAACCCUGUCGGUUGCAGCAAUGUAAAGGAGCAGGUCUUCAUUGGGCUGAGGCGCUGCGAGGACAGGCGGUGAAGUGAGGAAGGUCUUAAGCUGAGUGAACGCAGCGUCGGCUUCUUCUGUCCAGGAGAAUUUUUCUGACGCUUUCAAUAGUUUGAAGAAAGGGAGGCCUUUUUCUCCCAGCCUUGAGAUGAAACGACUGAGGGCGGCCAUGCAUCCGGUUAGCUUCUGAAUAUCCUUGACGUUCUUCGGUGGUCGCAUGUCGAGUACGGCUUUGACUUUUGACGGGUUUGGUCGUAUGCCGUCGCAACUGACGACGUUGCCGAGCAGUAGACCGGAAGGAACGCCGAAAAUGCAUUUCUUGGGGUUGAGCUUCCACUUGUACCUAUUGAGUGCCUUGAAGGUUCGGUCUAAGUUGUCGAUUAGGGUGCUCACGUCCCUUGUUUUUACGACCACGUCGUCCACAUAGGCCUCGACGAGGUCAUCGCGAAUCUCGUCGUGGAGGCAUUGCUGGAUGGCCCUUUGAUAAGUGGCCCCGGCGUUUUUAAGUCCGAAAGACAUGGUAGUGUAACAGUAUGCGCCGAAGGGUGUGAUGAAGGAUGUUUUGAUCUGAUCUUCUUCCUUUAACGAGAUCUGGUGAUAACCAGAGUAGCAAUCUAGGAAGGAGAGGAGUUCGCAUCCGGCCGUUGAGUCGACCACCUCGUCGAUGCGAGGAAGACCAAAAGGAUCUUUAGGACAGUGUUUGUUGAGAUCGGUGUAAUCAACGCACAUUCUCCAUUCAUUAUUCUUUUUGCGUACAAGAACCGGAUUGGCGAGCCAAUCGGGAUGAUACACCUCUUUUAUGAAUCCGGCUGCUAGAAGCCGUGUUAUUUCUGUCCUAAUAGCCUCCUUUUUGUCACGAGCGAACCGUCGCAGUUUUUGCUUGAUUGGUCUUGCGGUCUUCGAGACGUUUAAGGAGUGCUCGAUCAGGUUUCGUGGGACACCGGGCAUGUCUGCGGGUUUCCAUGCGAAAACGCUCACGUUGUCCCUUAGAAACCUGACGAGCGCGUCUUCCUAUUUUGGAUCCAGGUUAGCCCCGAUGAGGGCUGUCUUCUCGGGGUUGCCUUCGACCAGCUGCACUUCUUUGUACUCCUUGGAUUUCGAAUUCUUUCUGGCUGUCUCCUGCUCAGGUAAUCGGAGCUGGUCGGGGGGCAGCUGUGCGGCUUGGUUUGCUGUUUCCGCCAUGCGGAUUGAGAGGUCAAUUGCCUCGGUGAUCUUGAAACUUUCUUCUUCGCAGGUGUACGCAGUGUAGACGUUGCCUCUGACGGUCAGGACACCCUUCUCCGUGGGCAUCUUAAGCACUAGGUAUGAGUAGUGCGGGACUGCCAUGAACUUUGUCAGCGAUGGGCGGCCCAGUAUGGCGUGGUAGGUCCCGUCGAAGUCCGCGACUACGAAGUUGAUGAACUCCGUCCGGAAGUGAUCGGGUGUGCCGAAUUGGACAGGCAAUGUUAUCUGUCCGAGGGGCACCGAACUUUGACCUGGCAGAACCCCCCAGAAUUGGGCGUCGUAAGGUUUUAGUUGCGCCGGUGAUAUCUUGAGGGCGGGCGGGCUGUUGCGGAAGAGGAUGUCGAUGGAGCUUCCCCCGUCCACGAGCACGCGCUCGAAUCUAAUGCUAUUGAUGCAGGGAUCAAGAAUUAGUGGGAAACGACCCGGCUCUGGGAUAGCGGCCCACUGGUCCUUCCUGCUGAACGCGAUCUCCCUGUGGGACCAGGCGGGAAAUUUCGGAUCUGCGAUCAGCCCGUCCGUGCUGUCUAUGUUGAGGCAGGCUCUCUUUAACAGCUUUCUUUCUCGCUUGGACUCAGUGGAGACCUUGCCCCCGAAAAUGGAGUGGACCACGUCGGUGGGGCUGACGUAUUGGUGUCGGGGGUCUCUGUCUUGGUCCUCAUCCUCGUCUUCGUGGUCGUGUCCGUCGCGUUUGUUACUUUUCUUGGCGGUGUCUUCUUGGGCGGCCCGCCGUGUAUAGAUAUUUUUGAGGACGCGGCACUCUUCCAUGGUAUGGUUAGACUUUGGGUGUAGCUGGCACGGUCCCUUCAACGUUUUGUUGUAGUCGUCUUGGUAGUCCCGUCGUCCAUUGGGACGUUUGACCGUGUUUACUUCGUGGUCGUAUUCGCGAGGGCGCUUUCCUCUGAAGUCGUCGCGGCUGUCGCGCCGCCGAUCCCAACCCUCUCGGUGAUCGCGGUUGUCGGAGCGGCGGUGAUUUCUGUUGUCGUAGCGACCACGACCGUCAUCUCGCCGGGAGGGCUGGUCGGUGCCUCUCGCAUCGUCUCGGAUUAGUUUUUCUGCGUCAUCAGCAUCGGCAUAAUUUUUAGCCGUGGCGAGGAGCUCUGCUACCGUUGAUGGGCGCUUACGCAACAGCUUGUUCCUCAGCGCUUCAUGGAAACGCAAACCCUUGAUAAAGGCUGAUAUGGCCUCGUCAUGAGAAAUCUUCGGGAUUUUGAGGCGCAUAUCCGAGAAUCGUCGGAUGUAAUCGCGCAGAGGUUCAUUCUUCCUGUCUCUUAUCCUUUCAAGGUCAUACUUGUUUCCGGGCUGCUCGCAUGUGGCGAUGAAGUUGUCGAUGAAAGCCUGUCGUAGCUCUUCCCAAGAGUCGAAGGAGUCCUCGGGCAAGCCGAGAAGCCACUGAUGACCAGCCUGGUCGAGGACUACGGGGAAGUAGUUAGCCAUGACGUGCUCGUCUCCUGCCGCUGAUCGGACGGCGAUUUCGUAGAGGGUGAUCCAGUUCUCUGGAUUUUCCUUGCCGUCGUAUUUUUUAAGUUUCUCGAGCUUGAAAUUGCGGGGCCACACGACCUGGCGGAGGUGUGAGGAGAACUGCCUUAGGCCCGGAGGACCAUGGGUCGCAUCGUACUCGAUGCGGCGCAGGUUUUCGUGGACUGCUCUCUCUGCGGCGCGCCUGUUGAUGCGGUCCCGGGCAUCUUUGGGAGGGAUGUUGUGGCGGAGAUCCCCGUGUUGAUCUUCUUCUUCUUGGCCGCGUACGCGGUUCUGCUGGCGGCGGCCAUCGGCGUCCCGACCACCAUCGUCGCGCCGUGAGUCCCCUCGACGGUUGUCGGGGGAGCGGCUGCGGCGACGCCUGCUGGGUGAGGCCCGGCUACGAUGAGUCUGGUCGGAGGCGGCUUCCGUAUAAGAGACGUCCUGGACUCUCUUGAGCAGAGCGGCUGUCUGUCCCAUCGCGGCGAUCAGGUGUGCUCGGAUACUGGUCCGGACUCCCUGGCAUUCGGGGGUGUCAGGAAGCCGAUCCAGGUUGGCCAUGGCGACAGCCACGUUGGCGCUUGGCGUUUUGUAGACCGGCUGGUCCCCGACCAUGUCAAAGGCAUCGUUGAGGUUACCUGGUGGCGUCUGUUGUUGCUCGUCCGCACGCCGUCGGGCGCGAUCGGCGUUACGCUGUUCGCGGAGUUGCCUCUGGUCGUCUGUUUCUCCGUCAACAGCCGGUUCGUCGGCGCUGACAUUGAAUACAAUGUCCCCUCGCCGGGGGGGAAUAUCGGGAAUCGGUCGAAACCCGGAGGGUGUGAAGGAAAAUCCAGGUCGUAGUCCUCGUCUUCGGUGUUCACAACCUCGGUGGGGACGGAGCCGGUGCUUGAGUUGGUGCUGGAAACCUGGCCGUCCCGUAGCUCUCGGAUGGUCACCAUGUUGACAUGGUGACGAUUGUUCCUUGUCGGCGACCAGCCCGCUUUGCUGAAAACGGAUUGGACAUGCUGUGAGUAAACAGAGGCCGAGUUGUUCAGGCCGCAAGGAUAGUCUUCCUUUUUGAGCUCGACGGAUCGUCCUGAGGGGGUUGAGGUUAUCGUCAGGGACGUUCCCAGCCGUUCGUGUGUGGCGACACGAGUUGGCCGGCGGAAUUUCGGAAAAUCCGCUCGAGCGGCUUGGUCGGGCUGGCGCAGAACUCCAUCUAUUAGUUGGGAGACUUCGAGUAGCUUGGAGUCAGCGCGAUCGAGCGCUUGGAGGAGGUCCGAGCAGUCGAUCUCCUUUCCCUUGUAGAGCGGGAACGGUGGUCGGGAGCUUGGUGCCGUCAUGCGUGUGGUCGGAGACGGCGUGAUCUCAGAUUGGAUCUGGAUCUCUUUCGGAACCGUGGUCGCGAGACCGCCGCUGCACGUCGUCCACGUGAUCUGGCCGACGGUGAUCGUGAGGCCUUCGGGCACGGUCGCGGAAGCUGGGAUCGUGACCAUCUUGUUCGCCGGAAAAGUUGCACGCACACCCCCUACCUGGCGCGCCACUGUCGACGAAAGCUAGUCGGCAGUCUACCUUGGGGUAUACCCACGGUAGUAGUUUAUCGGUAGACGGUGCGCAAACUACGAACUCGAUGGUGACGCAAGACACGGACAAGCUUUUUAUCCAGGUUCGGCCGCCGAGUUGGCGUAAUACCUACGUCCUGCGUCUGGUUGUAUUGAUUUGUGCUGAGAGAAUAUGAUGUCCUAGGGGGGUCCCUUGCCCCUCCUUAUAUAGUCUGGAGGGCAGGGUUACAGAUCUAGAAACUAAUCCUAGUCGGUUACAAUUGCCAUAGAUAAUUCGAUAUCAAUUCCUAUUCUAACCGACUAGAAUCCUGCUUGAUCUCCACGUCUUGUUUCCUUGUGCGAAACUCCGAGCUGUCGGAUCAAGCCUUGAACUCGUCUCGUAGUGGGCCAAGCUUCCUGGCUAAAGUCUAACCGUAAGGGUAUAGGGGUUUAUACCCCCACAAUUCCAAUGAUGUUUCUUUUCCCUAAAAGAACUAUGUGGAGCUUUGGCUCAUCAUUGAUUGAGUGGUUGUUGUUUUUCCCUCUCUUCGGUUUUGUAGACAUAUCCUUGACAUAGAACACCUGAUUCACAUCCUUGGCAAGCACAAACGGUUCUUCUUUGUACCUAAUAUUGUUGAGGUCCACAAUUGUUAUCCCAUAAUGGUUGUCGACUGCUACGCUGCCUCUAGUCGUCUUUAUCCAUUGGCACUUGAACAAAGGGACCUUAAAAGUAGGUCCAUAGUCUAGUUCCCAUAUCUCCUUUAUGUGACCAUAGUAUGUUUGCUUAUUCCCACUCGGGUCGGUGACAUCUAUGCGGUCACCACUAUUUUGGUUGGUGCUCCUUUUAUCUUGUGCUACUAUGUAAAAUAUAUGUCCAUUUAUCUCGUACCCUUUGUAUGUGACGAUAUGCCAUGAUGGCUACCUAGCCAUCAAAUACAGCUGCUCAUCAAUACUCUCAUCACCCUGACAUUCUUUUCACAACCAGUCACUGAAAGUUUCCAUGUGCUCAUGCGUAAUCCAUGCUUUAGACUUCCUGAGGAACUUGGAUCGGAGGAAGUUCUUAUGUGUCUCGAUAUAUGAGUCUACCAAGGAGGAGUUCUAUAGAACUGUGUAGUGUGCUUUAUUGAAAUAAUCAUCAUCCAUACCAAUGUAUGUUUUCUUUCCUAGUGUCCCCUUUCCACUUAGUCUCCCCUCGUGUCAUGAUUUAGGAACACCAAUCAGGUCAAGAUCAGGAAUAAAUUCAACAUAAAACUCAAUGACCUCCUCUAUUCCAUAGCCCUUAGCAAUACUUACUUCUGGUUGAGCAUAGUUGUGAACAUAUUUCUUUAGGACUCCCAUGAACCUCUCAAAGGGGAACAUGUUGUGUAGGAAUACAGGACUGAGAAUACUAAUCUCCUUAACAAGAUGAACUAGGAGGUGUGUCAUGAUAUUAAAGAAGGAAGGAGGGAACACCAACUCAAAGUUGACAAGACAAUGAACCACAUCAUUCUGUAGUUUUGCUUGAUUCAUUGGAUUGAUUGCCUUGUAAGAAAUUGCAUUAAGGAAUGCACAUAGCUUUACAGUGGCUAAAUAUACAUUUGGAGGUAGAAGUCCUCUUAAUGCAAUUGGAAGCAAUUGCAUCAUGAGCACAUGGCAGUCAUGAGACUUUAAGUAUCCAAAUUUCUUCUCUGGCACAUUUACUAUACCCUUUAUAUUCAAGGAGAAUCCAAAUGGCACCUUGAUGCUAUCUAGGCAUUCAAACAAGUUGCCCUUCUCUUCUUUGCUAAGGGUGUAGCUGGCAGGACUUAAGUAGUGGCGUCCAUCAUUUGUCUAAUCUAGAUGCCGAUUGUCUCGUUCUUUCGAACACCACAGGUCUUGUAGUGCUUCUAUUGUGUCCAUAGGUUUGCCAUACAUGCCCAUGAAGCCUAGCUAGUAGGUUCACACAAAGAUUCUUCUCAGGUGCAUCACAUCGAUCGUGCUGUGAACCUCUAGAACUUGCCAAUACGGUAGCUCCCAAAAUAAAGACUUCUUCUUCCACAUGGGUGCAUGACUCUUGGCAUCGUUCAGAACAGGUUGGCUGCCAGGUCCCUUUCUAAAGAUUACCUUCACAUCAUUGACCAUAUCAAGUACACCCUCACAUGUUCGGUUGCGUGGCUUGGUCUGGUGGUCUGCCAUAUCUUUAAAAUGCUUGCCUUUCUUUCUUACAGGGUGAUUUGCAGGAAGAAAUCAUUUAUGGCUAGGGUAUAUGACCUUUCACAAUUUUUCAAGAAUAUUUCUUUAAUAUCACCAAAGCAGUGUGUGCAUGCAUUAUAUCCCUUGUUUGAUUGUCCUACAAGAUUACUUAGAGCUGGCCAAUCAUUGAUUGUUAAGAACAAUGCUCACAGGUCAAAGUUCUCUUGCUUGUGCUCAUCCCACACACGUACACCAGGUUUAUUCAACAAAAGUAGAAGUUCUUCAAGUAGUGGCCUCAAGUACACAUCGAUGUGGUUGCUAGGUUGCUUUGGGCCUUGGAUGAGCACCGGCAUCAUAAUAAACUUACGCUUCAUGCAUAACUAAGGAGGAAGGUUGUAGAUACAUAGAGUAACAGGCCAAAUGUUGUGACUAUUGCUCUGCUCCUUGAAAAAAUUUAGACCAUCUGUACUUAAAGCAAACCUUAAGUUUCUUGCAUCACUUGAAAACUUGGGGAAUUCUCUAUCGAUUGCUCUCCACUCGGACCCAUCAGUAGGGUGUCUCAACAUACUGUCUACCUUACGGUCUUCUUUGUGCCAUCGCAAUAACUUUGUAUGGUCUCUAUUUCUAAAAAGACGUUUCAAGCAUGGUAUUAUAGGGGCAUACCACAUAACCUUGGCAGGGAUUUUUCUUCUUGCUACGUUCGCCAUCAACAUCACCAGGGUCGUCUCAUCUGAUCUUAAACCGUGACACGUGACAUAUAGGGCAUGCAUCCAAAUUCUUGUACUCCUUAUGAUACAGAAUGCAGUCAUUAGGACAUGUAUGUACCUUCUUGAUUUCUAAUCCUAAAGGGCAGACUACUUAUUUUGCUUCGUACAUAGUGGUGAACAAUUUAUUAUCCUUAGGAAGCAUCUUCUUUUGGAUUUUUAGUAACUCACCAAAUCCUUUAUCAGAUACACUAUUCUUUGCCUUCCAUUGCAGCAAUUAUAGUGUGGUAUCCAACUUUUUCUGCCCCACAUCACAAGUUGGGUAUAGCAAUUUCUUGUGAUCCUCUAGCAUGCGGUCGAACAUGAUAUUCUCUUUUUCACUUUUACAUUCUCUUUGUGCGUCAUGAAUGGCCUGACCAAGAUCAUCAGCGAGCUCCUCUUCUGCCCCUACUUCUUUUUCAGUUUCCCCAAUUGUAGUAUCAUUGAAGGCACCAUAUUCAACAAUAAUGUCAUCAUCGGCCCAUUGUUCUUCUUCACCUUCUUCCAUUACAACCUUGGUUUCUAUGUGCUUCGUCUAACAAAUAUAGUUUGGCAUGAAAUCUAACUUGAACAAGUGUGAAUGAAGAGUCCUUGAGCUAGCAUAUUCUAUAGUAUUCUUACAUAUGACACAUGGGCAGCACAUGAAACCAUCACAUUUGUUUGCCUCGGCCACACGUAACAAAGAAUGCACACCGUCAAUGAACUAUUAGGAGCGACGAUCAAUACUAUACAUCCAAUGCUGACUCAUCUGCACUAUAUUAAAUAAAUAUUAUAUUAAUACCUAGAACAUAAUUAGUUAAUUUUGCAACAUGCAUGCCAUCACAAAAGUUACAAAUUUAUGAAAGCCUUGCUACAAUGUAGACAAUCCCAACCACCACUAAAAAAACUAAAGCUAAAAUGCACUUCAGCAACACAAGGAUUUUGCGACCAGUCCCAACUAAUGUUUUUAAGACAUCCGAUUAAUUGCGAUUAAUCAUGACUUAUCGUCCUAGAUGGUUGGAGGUACUCGACUAGGCCUCCGACUUGGCCAGAAUGACCAGGAAACUGGUUGUCCGAUUAAUCGUCGUCCAAUCGUGAUUAAUCGUUCUUCCAGGUUGUUUGCGCGUCCAGUCAGGAGAUGGUCCAGUGAGUAGAUGGGCUGCAUCUCAUAGUUGGGCCUAGCAAGCUGCCUUAUAUUUUGGCCCAAGCCCAUUAGGGUUUAUGUUGUCUACCCCUCACUUAUUUCAGCACAACACAUUCACUCCUCUCCUCUCCUCCUGUCCAGCAGCACUAGCCACCUCCAUUGCUGCCCUCCUCUCCUCUCCUCUCCUCCCUUCUGUCUCCCAGCUGCUCCUCCCCUCUCCUCUCCUCUCCUUGCUUCUGUCUCCCAGCUUCUCCCUCCCUUCCUCCCUUCUAGUUGCCCUCCCUCCCUUCCUUGUGGCUGCUGCUGCAAGCGUGCAGCUGUGCAAGGGAGGACUACACAACGAAGAUGAGCUCGUCCUCCUCAGGUCAAUCAUCACCUUCUCACUCAAGCUUGAUACUCUACCUGUGCUUGAGCUUGAUGCUUUAUUUCUCUGUGUACUUGUGUAGAUCUAGAUCGGCAGCGGGCAUGUGAAGUAGAAGUGUACAUGCCUGAGGCCAUUCAAGGAGAAGUUGGUUAUGCUCUAGGCUCCUUAGUUGCAUCAGGUUCAGUUGCUACUAGUUCAGCAUCCUCAAGUGCUCUAGAUCUUGCAUCUCUUGUUGAGAAAGCCCUAGCAAAGCUACCUCCAGAAAUGGCUACUGAAGCCAAAGAUCCCAAGAGGAAGGCCAAAUCUCGAGACCCUAGAUGGAAGUACAGGUGGUAGCUAGAUAUUGCAAAGAAGGACAAUGUGUAAUGUAUUUUUUGUAAAAAGGUAGUUCCUUCAAGAAUCAGUAGGUUCAAACAGCACCUUGUUGGAGGUUAUUCUGAUGCAAUUAAAUGUGAAAGUUGCCCUGAGAUUAUUAGGAGAGAGAUGGAAGUUUACAUCAAGAAGAAUACAAGGUCUGGAGUUGUGGUAGUUCCUAAAGUUCAACAAGGUUCUGAAGAGGGUGAAGGUGAUGAGGAUACUGAAGUUGAACCAGACAAAGUGCCUAGUUCUAGGACAAAGACAAAGCAAAAGCAAGCACAAGAAAAGAAAAAAUAGCUCAAGCUUCCAUCGCUCUCUAUACGGCUACUGCUGGUUCAUCUAAACCAGCAAAUCAAAAGAACUCCAAGUUAGUUGUUGGCAUGCUUUGGAAGACACUAGAAGGGGUAGUUUUAGAAAGGCACAAAUUCAAGACUUCUCAGCCUACUAUAGAGCAUUGCAUAAAGAAAGAGAGCAAAAAAGUUGUUGAUGACCAUGUAGUUGAUUUCUUUUAUAAAAAUCAUAUACCAUUCAAUGUCAUUAACUCGAGAAGCUAGGAGAUUUUGCUUGAGUCAAUUGGACAGUAUGGACCUGGGUACCGCUCACCAUCCAUGCAUAAAAUUAGGGAGCCAUUGUUAGAAAGGGCUAUCAACAAGACAACAGAACUGAGGAAGAAGCAUGAGGAAGCUUGGAAAGAGUAUGGUUGCACUCUCAUGUCUGAUGGUUGGACUGAUACUAGCCAUCGUCAUCUAAUCAAUUUUCUUGCAAACAGUCUAGCAAGGACCUUCUUCUUAGGUUCAGUGGAUGCAUCAAGUGAGGUAGCUGAUAAGGAUAUGCUAGCAGAUUUGUUGGAGACGCAAAUUGACAAUAUUGGAAGGGAAUAUAUGGUGCAGGUUGUCACAGACAAUGGGUCCAACUUCAAGGCAGUGGGAAGGAUUCUAAUGGAUAGGAUCCCACACUUGUUUUGGACACCUUGUGCUACCCAUUGCCUGAAUUUGUUGCUGCAAGACAUUGGAGAGAUUAAGGAGUUCAACACUGUCAUAAAUUCAGCAAAGAAGGUGAGCAGAUUUAUAUACAAACAUGGGAGGAUACUAAAUCUAAUGAGACAACAAAUAGGUGGGGAUCUUAUGAGGCCAGCUAUGACUCGGUUUGCUACCUCUUAUCUUACUUUGGCAAGUAUGCAUAAAAAUAAGAAUGGCUUGAGAGCUUUAGUUGUCAGCGAGGAAUGGCAGAAGGACACCCUCUCUAAGUCUGCUGAAGGCAAACGAGUGGAGAAUAUUAUGUUGUCUGCGCCAUUUUGGACUAAAUUAGAAUAUUGCUUGAAAGCUUCAUAGCCACUUCUUGUUGCUCUACGAAUUGUAGAUGGAGAUGAGACACCAGCGGCUCCUGAGAUCACUGCAGCCAUGGAUGUUGUAAAGAACACCAUCAAAGAAUCUCUAAAAGAUAAUACCAUUUUACUUGAUGAGAUAAUGGUGUUAUAUGAUAAGCGAUGGGAAACCUAAAUGGAGCAAAAGCUAUAUGGGGCAGCCCUUUUCUUGAAUCCAGGCAAGUUCUUUGCAAUAAGGGAGAAAGACAAGAGACAAGCUAGAAGAUUAAGAGGCAUGUUCAAUCAAGUUCCAUGGAAAAUGGAGACUGAUGACAAUGUGUCAACUAAGAUUUCGCAGCAAGCUGAUGACUAUGAACAAUCCGAAGGCGAAGGCUUCUCACUGCCUUUAGCUAUAAGGGACAGAGAGAAAAAGAACCUAGUAAGUUUAGAAAAUUUUCUUUCCUUCAGUUGUGCUAAUUCUAUCUUGCUAUGUGCUGAUUCUAGUCUAAUUGUGUUUUAGUUUGCUGGUGGUAUUCCUAUGGUGGCCAUGCAUUUGAACUACAAUGUUUAGCAAAGAAAAUAAUCAGUCUUUGAUGCUUAGCAUCAGGUUGUGAGCGUAGCUGGAGUGAAUUCUCUAAUGUAAGUAUCAUUGCUAGAGUGUUAGUGGCCUAGUGUUGUUGCAAAUUGUAGAUCAAUGUGAUGUUCCCAAAAGAGGAAUAGAUUAGAGCAUAAGAGGUUAAACAAAUUGGUUUAUGUCAGUUACAAUAAAAAGAUGACAAACAGGUUUCAAAAAAUUCGAGAACUUGGUUGCAAAGGAAAGAGGAGCAACUCUCUCUUGCUAGAAGAGUUUCAUUAGGAUAGUGAAUGGGUGGAUGAUAAUUGUGGUGAGGUGCCUUGGGCUGUUGUGGAUGAAGUUAUUGGUGCAUCUAAGAAUCUAAGGGGUUGCAACUUGCCUAGGGCUGCUGCUACCCGUGUUGGAGCCUCUAUCCAGAAGAUCUAUACUAGGAACAAGAAGCGUCCUAGGGAGACUUCUGCAGCACUAGAUAUAUCUGGAGGGGAGGAAGAUGAUAGUGACCAUGAUGCUGAUGCAAGAAAUGAAGCCUAAGAAGGUCAAGAUGCAUCUAAUCCUGUGGUACUGAUAGAGGAGGAUGAAGAUGGAGAUAGAGGAGGCUUUCGUGUGGAUGGUGAUUUACUUGAGUAGUUCAUUACAUCUUUGGCUAUUUUGCCUAUUUAUGUACUUUGUACUGGACUUGAUGUAUGCACUAUGGUUGUAUGGCAGUGGCAGUGUGGCACUAUGCAGUAUGCACCAUAUGCACUAAGCAGUUCUAGAUCUAGACUGGUUUAAAUUGUGUGCUUUACUGUGUUCAUUUGGUUUGUUGAUCACUUCAUUGCCUUUCACCUAAUUGCCUUAAUGCCUUUGUUAAUGUGCUUUAUUUUUCUAUAAUUUCAGUUUGGUAGCAGCAACCAGCAAGACAAGAAAGGGCUCUGCAACAGUCAGAUAAGUGGCCAGCUGACCUAUCUAGACUCUAGAGCCUAGAACAUGUAUAUAUAUGGUAUAAUAUGUAUUGUAUAUAGCUACAUAAUAUAUAUGGUAUAUAUCAGUCCCCAUAUGUAAGGGACGACCAGGAUGACCAGGGGACCUGAACGGUCCCCCAGCGUCCAGACAUGACCAGCCGUCUUGAAAACAUUAGUUCCAACUAAAACAGACAGAUCCCCAUUUAUUCACCAUCUUUGGGCUUCUUCGUCUGGAUCACCACCAUAUUAGUCGCCGUAUCUGCCGGUCGUGCAAGAUAUUUUUGCAUGAGUUGAACAUACUCUUCCUUAAAGUAGAAGCCUGAACAUCCGGUGCCAUCCCACUAAAAUUACAACAAAAAAACUAAAAUUUUAAUCACAAUAAUCAAGAAAAUAGGUAUAAACUAAUCAUAAUUAUCAAAUACGAGAAAAUAGUUUACAUUGCGAUGUGGGUACUUGUAGAAGAUACGAUCUUUGUUGGGGCCCUCUUUCUUCGCUCGAUACUCGAUCACAAUCUUUGUCUCAUCAUCACACUUGCCACAGGAAUGAGUGGGAGGCCUGGUCUAAGUCGCUUUGAACUGAGGACGCAGAAGUAGUUACCAUCUACUCUUUAUACUUAUUUUGUAAACUAUAAAUUUCUCAUUUUACAAACAAAUAUAAUUAAAAGAACUCUAAAAUUCACUAUGUCUCUAAACAAUAAAGUGUGCUACUCAUGCUACAAAUUAACAGUGAAUACUAGUUUUUAAUAGAUACUUUAAUCUUCCUUUAUCUAAAUAUGCAAGCUUUAAGUGAUUUUGACCUCAAAUUGCUUAAAAAUAAAAAGAACACAAUAGAACACCAUAUAUAUAUUGUAUAUCACAAAAUAAGAUAAACCAAUGAGAAAACAUGAGAGCAUCAAGUUGGUAACCUUUAGAAUCGAAGAAUUGAUGGAGGAAUCGAUGAAAUCGAUGGAUGAAUCCAAGAAUGGAUGAAGAAAGCAAGAACACUGGCUUGAAAUUUGAAUGAAAGCUGGGGAAGGAAGAAGCUGGCCGGGAUAUAUAGGGUGGAUCUUUAGUGCCGGUCAGUGAAAAGAACCAGGACUAAAGAUCAAUUUCCAACCACGGGCCCAUCCACUAGUCGGGAUAAUAUCUUUACUCUCGAUUUGAGCCAAGAACAGAGACUAAAGGUUGACCUUUAGUACCGGUUAUUUGUUCCAGCCUCUACCACACAACUAUGGCGAAGUAGCCAUUGGGCUAAAGCCUUUAUUCUCGGUUAACCGAGACUAAAGGUUCUUCUAAUCUCGGACGCAUAAAAUUUCUAGACUAAAACCAAUUUGAAUAGAGGAAUCAAAGAUCAUUUCUCUACUAAUAUAAAAUUUACCGACGUAAACCAAAAAGAGCUACGGAUGUAUAGUCCUCGAGCCAAGCUCUCAAUUAAUUAAGGCCUUGUUUAGUUACGAAUUUUUUUUAGAUUUCGCUACUGUAGCACUUUCGUUUUUAUUUGACAAACAUUGUCCAAUCUAACCUUAACUAGGCUUAAAAGAUUUGUUUCUAAUCUAACCACGCCUAACUAGGCUUAAAAGAUUUGUCUCACCAUUUACAGGCAAACUGUGUAAUUAGUUUUUAUUUUUAUCUAUAUUUAAUGCUCCAUGCAUAUGCCGUAAAAUUCAAUGUGACGGAAAAUCUUGAAAAGUUUUUAAUUUUUGAUGGUAACUAAACAAGGCCUAAGCAGCGUUGGCAUUUGGCAGGAAACGGCAGAGGAUACUUUCCAUUAAAAGCCCUUGGAUGUUGAGCUAUUCACAUAAAUAUAUCGAUCAUCAACAAAUAUUGCACAAUUUACCCCGCCAAAAACAGAUAUUUCACAAUACAGCGCACAAUAGAUCUUACUGCAUGCAUGCCGUAACGGCAUCCGUUAGUCAACUCGCGAGAAGCGAGACCCCUCACACACACAUGCGUUUACAUUCAGGCCGUGUUUAAUUUCCGAAGAAACAAAUUUUACGACACUAUAGCACUUUUGUUUAUUUAUUGUAAUUAUUGUCCAACUAUAGACUAACUAGGCUCAAAACAUUCGUCUCGUCAAUUUCGACUAAACUGUGCAAUUAAUUUUUAUUUUCGUUUAUAUUUAAUACUUCAUGCAUGCGUCUAAAGAUUCGAUGUGACGGAAAAUCUUGAAAAAUUCUGGAUUUUUGGGUGGAAGUAAAUAAGGCCUCACAUUAUAUUCAGUCAUCAGGAUGGCUCUUUGCACAAUAAUGUGCCUGCAAUCAAACCGAUGGCGUACUAGUAAUUAACUAUAACUUGAUCGAUUUGGUUUGUCACCAUCAGCUGCACGUACACUGUUUGUCUUGUCGCACACCGGGAGCUGCUACUAGGUUCCAAGUUGCACAUAAAAAAGGAAAAUGGCCAGCAGAUUGUUCAACUAUAUAAUCGUGUGUAGCCGUGUUAGAAAAUUGGAUGAUAGCUUGGAGAUGAAGCUAGCUAGGCGUGGUUAGAUUAGAACGCGUUGUACGUCAUAUGUUGUGCUCAAAUUAACAAAUUAAGGCCUUGUUUAGUUUCUCCCAAAACUCAAAAACUUUUCAAGAUUUUCUGUCACAUCGAAUCUUUAAAUGCAUGCAUAGAGCAGUAAAUAUAGACAAAAACAAAAACUAAUUCCACAGUUUGCUUGUAAAUCAUAGGACAAAUUUUUUUAUCCUAGUUAGUCUAUAGUUAGACACUAAUUACCAAAUACAAACGAAAUUGCUACAGCAGCGAAAUCCAAAAAAUUUCAUAUCUAAACGAGGCCUAAAACAAAGUGCUCGCUCGUUUCAAAUUAACCGGUCUGCGGCAUGCCGGUUGAUGCAUCGUUACUUCACCAGUGCAUGCACCACACAAGUCAAACGUAUGCGCGCCCAUGCAAUCUUUAAUAAUUUUACCAGCCAGCGCCAACUUGCGGCUGUACGUGUCAAAUUGAAGCACGCGAGUUUGCAUCACGCCACUACACAGCUGCAUAUUAUAUAUACUGUAUAUAUAUGCCAUAGCUAGAUCUCUGCAACUUGGAGUACUAUCUAGGUAGUACGAGUUACAUUUUAAUUAAGGUGUGUGUGGGCGCGCGCGCAAAAGGAGGUGACGCGAUAGCACUGGCAGUUUUGAGACUGUAGUACGUUUUGAUUAAGGUAAUGCUUAAUUACUGGUUGCGCUAGCUGAUGACAUACUCCUAUGUUCUACUGAAAUUAUUGCAUAUGUAAAGUAUAUAUAAAUCCGAUCAAAAUCAACGGAAGAACUUGCUCGGAAACGCACUCACAUACUCCUAAUAAUGAAGUGGUUGCACUAAGGCUUGUUUAGUUCACCUCAAACCAAAAACUUUUUAAGAUUAUCUAUCACAUCCUUAUGGCACAUGCAUGGAGCAUUAAAUAUAGACAAAAAUAAAAACUAAUUGUAUAGUUUACCUGUAAAUCGCGAGAUGAAUUUUUGAAGCGUAAUUGCUCCAUGAUUGAACAAUUUUUGUCAAAUAAAAACGAAUGUGCUACAGUUUUUAGUUCUAAAAAAUUUUAAAGAUUCUUAUUAUCACAUCGAAUCUUGCGGCACAUGCAUGGUGCAUUAAAUAUAUAUGAAAAUAAAAACUAAUUGCACAGUUUAUCUAUAAAUCGUGAGAUGAAUUUUUUAAACCUAAUUACUUUAUAAUUAAAUAAUCUUUGUCAAAUAAAAUCGAAAUACUACAAUAUUAAAAUAAAAAAAAAUUGCGAACUGAACAAGGUGUAAACAAUGCCUAAGCGGCAUGCAGCAGGUAGCCGGCGGCCUAGCCUGCUAAAUUUAGCGAUAGAUAGAUGUUUCGACGCGUGAGCAUGACAUGGUAUGGCGCGAAUUGCAUGCCAUGGCUUCAUCUCCAACCAUGCAUCAAACCACCAAACAUGUUGUCGUAUAAUACAGUACCUACUAGUGUCUUGCUAGUAGUACUCCUAGCAAGACACUAGUAGUAUUUUUUUAAGAUAAGGCUCCGCUUAUUUUAUAAGUUAUAUUUAUAUUUUUUUAUCAGUUAAUACUGUUUUUCUCUCGUAAUAAAUUAUUAAACAUGACUUUUCAAACCAGCUUACUUUUCUAGUAGUAGUACUGUAGUAAUAGUACUACUUAUGCGAUUGCAAUGCAAGGACAUGAUAUACUAUAUAAGUAUAGCUUAGUGUCCAAGAAACGACGACGUCAAGUUGACUAUUGCGUGGACUUUGGAAAACUAAUCAAUCAAUCAUCUUAAUGUAACAUGAAGUUAAUUAAUACUCCCUCCGUCUCAGCAUAAACGCAUUCAAUUCUUUCUCUUAGCAUCAGUAUUACUGUACUCCUUCCGUAUAGGAUUUAGAAGUUUAUAUAGCGACAUCGUCUCCAAAAUACAACUUUAACCUCUUAUUUUUAUAAAAAUAUUUAGAAAAGGAAAGUAUUUUCAAGACAAAUUUAUUUAUAUAAUUUUCAUAUUUGCAAACUCGACAAUUUAAAUUAGUUAUUGAUGAUUUAUAUUCUCAAUGUUUGACUUAAACCUUGUCAAAAAGAUUUCUAUAUCCUAUACGAAAGGAGUAUUAAUGUUGUGAGAGAGCACGCCUUAUAUUAUGAAAACAUGAACAAAAAAUGGUUGCACCUAUAUACUAGGACGGAGGGAGUAUAAACUCAAUCCCAAAAUGCAGACAUGGACAACUUAACUCAUCCACUACGCAUGAACACUAAACCCUAGCUAGUAGUGAUGACGACGAGACCUUGUUUUUAAUUAAGGUCUUGUUUAGUUCCUAAAAGUUUUCAGAUUUCUCAUCACAUCGAAUCUUUGUACGUAUGCAUGGAGCAUUAAAUGUAGACAAAAAUAAAAACUAAUUGUACAGUUUGCCUGUAAUUUGCGAGACGAAUCUUUUGAGCCUAGUUACUUCGUAAUUAGACAAUAAUUAUUACAUACAAACAAAAGUACUACAGUAGCCAAAGCCAAAUUUAUUCGCGAAGUAAGAGCAUCCCCAACCGUUUUGCAUAUGGGCUUUGCAUUUUUGUAUUUGCAAAAAAGUGUAAAAAACAUCCAUCCAAUAGUUUGGCAAAUGGGCUUCGUAAUUUUGUUAACUUGGCAAAAAGAGGGAAAAGAUUGACAUGUACGCCAAGCCCGACGUCGGUUGGCAUCUGAGAAACUCGCGUGAAUUGCGUGAGUCCGGGUCAAGGUCGCGCAUCUCUGCGAUGUUCCAGUCUUCAUCAAGGUCGAGGUCGCGCGAAGAGGGGAAUGAUUCUCGCGUGAAUUGCUGUUGAUGUCCGUCGAUGCCGUGCGGACGUAUCUACGAAGGCCGGGCUGCUGCUGUUGAUGUCCGUCGAUGCCGUGCGGGCGUAUGUACGAAGGCCGAGCUGCUGUUGUUGAUGUCCGUCGAUGCCAUGCGGGCGUAUUUGCAAAGGCCGGGCUGCUGCUGUUGCUGUUCGAUAGAUGAUGUUGCUGUUCGAUACAUGCUGCUGCUACUGCUCGAUAGAUGCUGUUGUACUUCGAUAGAUGCUGUUGCUGUUGUUUGAUAGAUGUUGUGUCAUGUUCAUCUUAUUUUAUUAUUGUUAACCUUUCACAUAUUUUUUUUAGAUUCAUUCAAAUGGAUGGAAUGUGAUCGACGCAGAAAAUGUCGGCGCUAGAAAAUGUCAGCAGAGAUUCCACGCCGGUAGAGACUCAACGCAGAAAAUGUCGGCGCUAGACCACGCAGACCUGGGCUCUAGAGCCGUGAUGUUGGCGCCUUGGCGCAAAACAAUUCCCGCGAAAACUUUCACCACACGCGCCAGAAGAAUAGAUCGACAAAAAAAUUAGUGGGUCCAUAUUUUCCUUUUUUGCCAAGUGAUUAAUGCCAAACCAUUGGAGAUUGCCUCUUUUCAACUUUGCCAUAUUUAUUUGGGAUUUGGCAAACUCCCUCAUUUACCAAACCAAUUAUGCAAAAUGGUUGGGGAUGCUCUAAACAAGGCCUAAAAUAAUGCAUUGGCAAACGAAACUUGUCAUGCCAACUACUACUAGUAGAGUACUACUAGUACUAAUACUACUAUGCGAGACACGCGCAUACGGAAGACUUAACUUAAUUGACCGACCGUGCGUUAAUGCCUUUCAUACUUAAAAAUAAAGUUGUUUUAAAUAAGAUUUGAGUCAAAUAUUAAAAAUAUAACUCAUAAAUAACUUUUAAAUUAUUAAAUUAGAAAAUGUAAAAACCAUAUGAAUAUAUUUGUUUUGAAAAAUAUUUUUAUAAAAAUAUAAAUAUAUCACUUUUUGAUAAAUAUUUUUACAAAAUAAGAAGUUAAAGUUGUGCUUUAUAGCUCGUGUCACUGUCCAAAAUAAUUUUAUUUUUUAGUAAGGAUGAAGUGUAUAUUACCAAGCUUAGGCGGGUACGUAGGAGGGAGGUGGAUGAAUUCAACGGGCCGGAACUCCAUGAUCUAGCGGGGGGUUCUUGGGAUUCAGAGUGAAGGGAGAGAUGAUUCAACUGAGCGAGAAUUCAACUGCAGUUAGAGAUAUGUCAGCUUCACGCGCUUGCCGCCACAUCUAAGAAGAUUAUUUGUUCGCACACGCCAACACACCAUGCUACGGCCUAGUUUAGUUCCAAAAAAUUUUGCAAAAUUUUUCAGAUUCCCCGUCACAUCGAAUCUUUAGACGCAUGCAUGAAGUAUUAAAUAUAGAUGAAAAUAAAAACUAAUUGCACAGUUUGGUCGAAAUUGACGAGACGAAUCUUUUGAACCUAGUUAGUCCAUGAUUAGACAAUUUUUGUCAAAUACAAACGAAAGUGCUACAGUGUCAAUUUUGUAAAUUUUUUUGAACUAAACAAGGCCUACAUAUAGCUCUAUUUGAACGGAAUAAUAUAAUUAGUCAACACUCAACAGAUCGUUGUACAUUAUUUUGAAACGCGAUUGAGGUUUUUGAUAUAUGGAUCGACAGAUGGAGACGCAUGUGGUAUGGGUCGGAAGCCGAGUUUGCUGAGAAGUUUCGCAGGUAAACAGCUUCAUCGUUCUUCCAACUAGGUCGACAAAUAUGCACGUCAUCACCGCGCCGUGAGGAUGCUCGAAAUUGGGAGCCUAGGAAAUCUCCCCAACUUUCAACUGACGCAAUCUAAGACUCUAGCUACUAUCUUAGGGUCGUUGAACUUCGCUAUACUCAGCUUAUUUGGUUGUGCAUGUAUUUCUUUUAAUUCACAUAUGUUAAAAUGGAUUGGAGUAGAUUUAAACUAAGUUUCACUCUCUAAUCUACUCCGACACUUGUGGUUUGAUGUAGAUAUAUGUGCAUCGAAACAAGGCCUUAACUGGUUGCCAUUGACUGAAGAAUAUGCCGUUGGUUUUUGUGGUCAGCUAGCAUAGUCCCUCCGUAUCGUAAUAACCGCACGUUUGCAUUUCAAAAUUGUCCCAAAAUGAAGCGAUACAAGACAUCUUAAGAGCAGUAGUGGCAGCAGCUGGAACCUUAACGUGCAGAAAAUAUGCUUUGCCCAUUCUCGUGAAUAAAUUUGGUUAAACUUAAGAUGUUUGGAUUUUCCAAAAUUCUUAAAAUAACUUCUAAUUUGAGAUAAAAGGGCACUUCUAAACAAGACUAGGCAACAACACGUGCAAAGGCAAUGCUUCACAACACCGAUGCUCCAGCUCCACCGUGGAGCUGCAUCCACAUUUUGCUUGUUGCAACUAUAACGGAAAGAGUUUAAAACCGAGACGUCGAGAAAAUCUGGGAAAUAUACAACUUAUGCAGCAAAACCAUGGGUCCAUGGCCAGCAGAGACAACUUUUAACAGGAUCGAUCUAUUCAUAUCCGAUGACUGCCAGGCGUCAACAAUGCAACAUGUAAUGCCUGCCUCUAUAACUAUAACAAGGGUCAGCUGAAGCAGUGCGGCGGAAUAUGACUGCACCUCUAAGGAAAGCAAUGUCCGAGGACCUGAACGGAGGUAUAUAUGCAUGAAGGGUAACCACAUUGACGCAAUGCACGUCUUGCCUCAUCAAUCAACUGAAACAUUUGCAGCCCUGGGAACGAUAAUAACAACCACCUAUGCCUUCACAUGCUCACGGAUGAAUUGCUCCACGGCCAAAACAUUACCAGCGGAACCGGCGCCCUCCGCAACAGCCACCUUGUUCUGGCACUGGCUGAAGUUGAAAGCCUCUCCAGGGACCCCGAGCUGGACUUCAUCAGAGAUGUCAGCUGAGGAUAUGGCGGUCCUUGAUUCCCGGAGCUUGUUCCUAUAACAUGGUUAAAAAGAGAAGGCCAUUAGAAACCUUGUGAAUCUGGUAUUUCACAAGCUUGGACUGGUGAACAUGUUUUCUGCAUGCUCCCUUAAAGGUGUUUGGGAUCAGAAGAAGGAUAUACAAGAACUACAACUACUCCCAAACCCAACUGCAGCUUAAUAUUGUGUAAACAUUGUUGCAAUGCAUACUUUCUGACUGCACAUCGGAUCUAGAAAGAAAUCACAUGACCACAGCAUUUAUGCAGCAUGCACUACCAAGUUGAGUCAUUCUAAUUUCUAAUUCUAAUUAUGCAAGUAUGAUAAAUGUUGGGACUUGAGAGAUAUCCUUACAAUUCUUUCUCCAACUGCUUCUUGAUGAAUUCCUUCGAGUGGGCUGUAACUUUAUCUGUCUUGUUGCAGAAUAUAAGCACAGGAACCUUUUUCUUCACUACGGUUGCCUUUGUCAGAAUGUCAUACAGGUACCUGAAAAAAGAUGAUAAUAUUGCUAUGAAAUGUUAACAACACUAAGAAGUGAUCAAACAGAGUAAUAAUCUGCAAUGUUGGGAACAGUGGACACGGCUUCUAGUCACAAAAUGAUAACUACAAUGAUAAAAUUAUUCCAACAGAGUAAUUUCUGCAAUAUUGGGAUAUGAAAAGGGCACCUAAUUACACCUCUAACGGUACUUCCAAUGGCUAAUGCAAUUAAAAGCUAAGGCAAAGAAGCUAAUGCAUCGAACCCUAGCGCUUUUGAUAAUGAAAUAUUGGUUUAUACACCCUGCAUCAAUAUGCAAUGGGAUUCAAGCAAUUCACUAGCCCUAUCCCCUAAGGAAAUGACGAGCGUAGCACUAGCUAAAUCUUUUGAUAAUGCUACCCUAGGAACAGCAUUUUCAUCUUAGCACAAAGGAAAAUAAAAGUAGUUGAAAUAGGCACCAAAGAUAUUUGCUAAAAAGUAAAACAGAGGGCACAAAAGUUACUCUGCAGCAGCUUGCAUGCUAGACAAGAAAUCUUGAGCAUCAACAACAAAAACAACCCCAGCAGCUUUAGGCAGGACUUCAUCAAGCUUGGGUUUGAGCCUGGCAUGACCAGGAACAUCAACAAUAUGCACAGGUUUCACUUUGCCUUUCUGCAGGGAAGGGCAACAGGAAGGUUUAGCAAAAAUAUCGCAGUCAGAAAAUGCAUGUUUCUUCAUAAGAAACAAAGCUAUCCACUUUAAUUUCAUCUCAAUACGUUGGAAAAAGAAUUAGCUCUAAAAGUUUCCAUACCUUUUCUUGCUCCGAAUGCAGCACAAAGGUAUCACUGUUUUCUUCCAUAGAAGUCACAGUUCCUUGAUGUGAUGAUCCGUCCCGAAGCUGACAAGCACAAACAAAUUAGGAGAGCAACAGAAGAUAAUGUAUAAGAUAACCCACCUACUUGUUACAUUGGUAUAUCAUAAAUGUCAAAUGUUCUAAUAGACAAAAGGGAAAAAUAUCCUGGUUUCCCAUGGUACUGCAUUGCAGUACUUUAAUCAAGAAUAAGAUACGAGUAUAGUCAACUAAAACCAAGCCAACUAGUCUAUAUAGAAAAACAGAAUAAAAUCAAAUAAAAAAGAUAUGCGUAAAAAGCAUGAUAACAAUCAGAACUGAUGACCGUCUAGAAUGCUCAGCUCACACCCUAAAUAUAAUUCGAAAAAUGAGGUUCGAACAUUAUUUUGCAAACUAGAUACCAGUACCACAACCUUGUUCUUCACUUGUAAAACCGUAUACUUCACAGACCAAAAAUAUUGGAAGUUACCUGGUAGAAAAGAGUGGUUUUGCCACUGCCACUAAGCCCGGAUAGCACUAUGGUGUUUAGUUUAGAGGAUUUCAGACAAGAUGCUGCAGAAAAAAAACAUAGAAAGGAAUUGCUUAUCAUUUACCACUCUAAUGUAAUGAAUUGUAUGAUAGAGCAGACAUCGUAACAAGCAACACAGCAGCACCUCAUGUAUUGAACCAUAAGGUAUCUCCAGCGGGUGGAGCAAGGACCCAGGCUCCAGCCUGGGUUUGAGGCCUAAAAUUACAUCGAAGCAAACUUAAGAAACUGCACAAAUGUUGAAGCUAAAAUGAAUUGCAGCAUGUUUUAACUAUCUCAGCCCUGGGCUCUAACCCAAUCCUGGAUCCGUCCCUGGGUAUCUAUGAAUUUAAAACAGAAUGGAAAAGCAAACCCCCUCUUCACUUCAUAGCACUCAAAAAGCCAUCAUCAGAUACCUCAUGCUCAAGAACUCGUAAAUGCUAUAUCAUCUUAGAGCUGGAACAAUUUACAAUGCACAAUAACAAUGUAAUAAAACAUAGGCCUAAUCUUUGAUUAUUCAAUCAAUAGCACUAAAUCAUUACUACUCAGUUGGAAAUUUCAAAUUUGUGAGACAAUGACACCUAAAAGUCUGAAUGAACCAAAGCUGAAAAUUACACUAUCUGUUUCCUUUCUAAGCACAACUAUAAAUUGUAAAAGCAAAACUAAUAAACAUUUACAAACUCAAGAUUGGCUAAUUUAUAAAGCUCUAAAUGAUAUCGUUUCUCCCCUCAUUAAUUAGGUAGGUAACUGUGGCUUGCUCUCCUAGUUGCUUAAUUACAUAGUAUAGCCUUGCUACACUAUCCAGAUCAGUUCCCAUUUGAUCCAAGGCAUGUAGUCAGUCCCAUUGUAUGCAUAUAUAUGAAGAGACAACACACUACAGCUAAAUAUGCAAUUCCAGAUCCACAACUAGUUUGUUCUCCAGUGAUACAAAAAUUCAACAAAUAACCACUCUGAUGCUUUUAAGUGACAAUGCCUCUCCACGGAGGCCCAAACGACCCUGCUGCAAAAUUGGACACGCCUAUUUCAUUCUUAGGCCACCUUACGUGGAUGCUCGCAACACAACAUUCCAAGACUCUCAAGACCAUGGGCACUCAAUACAGAGCAAAAGGAACUCUAGGUUUGGCACCGCACCUACGAUAAGCACCAGGAUUGUGACGGCAACCACCGCGGCCGCGACAUAGAUCUGCUCCGGGGGCUGCUGGCGGAUCCAGCUCUCGGCUUGGCGCACCCACACCUCCGCUUGGCGAAUCCACUCGUCCAUGGCUGCUUUCCAAACAACGCAGAAGAAUUAUUGAGAAUAAGCCGCGUCCGCCGCACCUUGGCUAGAUCGAUUUCGCUCGAUCUCUGCAUAAUAAGAAACCAAAUCAAGCAACCGGUUAAGUAUCGCAACAUGCAGAAUGCAGUUCCACACAAAACGAAACCACAGCCCCCAGCAAACCCCACACCAAGCAAGCUAGGGUCUCUUACCUCGGAUACCAGAAAUAGAUCUAAUCCCAGGUGCACGAUAAGCAGAGGGUGGCGGGGACAGCACGAGCAGGAGGAGGGCUACGUCGCCGCGCGACAGGGGAUCCUGUCUCCCUGCCCCUCGCCGCCGACGGCGAGAUGUGGCGAAUUGCGGCAGUGGAAGACUACAGGAUAGGAAAGUAUAGCUGCUAUACCUGCUAGGGAGGGGGAGAUGGACGGAGCAGGAUAGGAAACCGUCGCACGUGCGGCGGCGCCACCUAGGCCUUGUUUAGUUCACCCUGAAAACCAAAAAGUUUUCAAGAUUCCCUGUCACAUCGAAUCUUGUGGCACAUGCAUGAAACAUUAAAUAUAGACGAAAACAAAAACUAAUUACAUAGUUUAGCUGAAAAUCACGAGACGAAUCUUUUAAUCCUAGUUAGUGCAUGAUUGGAUAAUAUUUGUCACAAACAAACGAAAGUGCUACAGUUCCGAAAAGUUUUCAAUUUUCGGAACUAAACAAGGCCCUAGAACCUUCUUCGCUGAUUUCAAAAGGGUCUCGAAAAAAUAUUAUAUUUUGAGACCUUUAGUAGAUUACAUGCGAGCAUUAAAUAUAGACAUUGUUUAGUUGCACAAAUUUUGUAAAAUGAACAAUAUAGCAUUUUCGUUUGUAUUUGAUAAAUAUUGUCUAAUUAUGGACUAGCUAAGCUUAAAAGAUUCGUCUCGUAAAUUACAGGUAAACUGUGCAAUUAGUUAUUAUUUUUAUCUAUAUUUAUAGGGUGUUUGGGACUGCUAUGCUCUACGUUUUUCAGCUCUGUUCCACGUUUGUUAGCCAAACAGUUUCAGCUCCACGCACUCAGUUCGAGAAAAAAUGUUGGAGUUGUGACUUGUGAGAGCACCUAAAGAGGUACUCCACGAACUCUAUUUUUUGUGGAGCUACUCCAUGGUGGAGUUUGUGGAGCAAAGUUCGUGGAGCAGUGCCAAACACCCCCUUAAUACUCAAUGCAUGCGCCGCAAUAUUCGAUGUGAUAGAAAAUCUGAAAAAUUUUGUAAAAUUUUUUGAAACUAAACAAGGCCAUAGAUAAAAAAUAACUAUUUAUAUACUUUGUCUGUAAUUUGUGAGACAAAUCUUUUAAGCCUAGUUAGGUCUUGUUUAGAUCAAAAACUUUUUGGAUUUGGACAUUAUAACACUUUCGUUUGUAUUUAGUAAUUAUUGUCUAACUAUGGAUUAACUAGGCUUAAAAAAUUCAUCUUAGAAAUUACAGGCAAACUGUGCAAUUAUUUAUUUUUUAUCUAUAUUAAUGCUCUAUGCAUGUGCCGUAAGAUUUGAUGUGACGAAGAAUCUUAAAAAAAAUUAGAUUUUGAGGGUGAACUAAAUAAGGUCUUAGUAUAUGAUUAGACAAUAAUUACCGAAUACAAAUAAAAAUAUUAUAAUACUUUAAAACUUUUCAUCCAGUAAACUAAACAAGGCCUGAAUUAAGAAAAUUACGAGAUUGAUUGAGGGUCUUUUUAGAUGGAAGCGUGGGAAAAACGCAGAAAAUAGAUAAGAGACCAACACAUAGCAAGUUUUUCCAUAAAAUUCAAACCUCUUGAUAAAAUUCCUCCAAAAGUUCGAUGAAACGAGCAAUUUUAUAAGAAUUUUAUAGGAUUUGUAUGACCAAAUCCUUUGCAAAGGUGUUCAUAGGAAAGUUUCAUAUAGGAUUUGAAUCCAAUUUUUCUUUGUUACAAAGAGGCUUAAGAGGUAGAGCUUGGAGCAGUUCUAGAUCCAGAAAAAUAGCUCUCCUCUUUUUCAGUCAAAUGGUCUAGUUCCACGAACUCUAGAUCCGAAAAAAGAUCUAGCUCCCGGAUCUACCAAAUCCAUGAAGCACCUCAAGGGAUGCGGUGCUCUGAGAAAUCUAAUCCUCAAGGGAUGCGGUGCUAUGAGAAAUCUAAUUUCGUGGAGUUAGUAAAAAUUAUCCAUCAUGACACUAAUUAGUGGAAAAUGAGCAGUUCAUUUAUUUUCUUUCCUUCCUCCUCACAACUCUUUCUACCAUUGUUGCGACUUUCCUCCUGUGUUGCCCCAUUCUGGUCACCACGAGCUCCUCCCCAACCCGACACCCCUCCUCUAACCAUGGUGAGCCUUCCCUACCUAGCUGCCAUGAUACCCCCUCCUAGGCCAUGGCGAGCCCUCCUAGCCCACGGCGAGCCCCUCCCUAGCCACAGCGAGUUCCUCCCCUGGCCGCAUCAUCCCCUUCCCCAACCAUCGCGAACCCUCUCGCCCACGAUGACCUCCUCUUCCGGCCACGACAGCCCCUCCCCACGCCAUGGAAAGCUUUCCUUGGCCAUGGUAGCUCAUCCCCCAGCCAUGUCAAGCCCAUCCCUCGAUCGUGCCGAGCACGACCGUGGUCACAUGCCGCGACGACCUUCUCCCCCGACCGUGGCAGCCCCUCCCCACCCCACAGCGAGCCUUCCCCAGCCGGGAUAGCCCCUCCCUAGUCGCGUCAAGCUUGUCUCUCGGCCAUGUCGAGCACGACCAUGGCCGCACGCUGGAAGAAGAAAGAUGUAUUUUUUUCAUUUUAUGCCCUGUUGAUGUUUCAAAAAUUAUAUAUAGAAUUUGAGCUCUACCAAACAGUUUGGUGGGAGCUGAGCUUCAUCAUAGAGCUACUCCAUGAUGAAGCACAUGCUCUAAAGCUGUGUUUUCAAAGCCGGAGCCUUGCCAAACAUGUCUUAAAAAGAGGGGGAAAACUUUUUGGGGUUUAUCUCGGAUACAUGAAUUUUAUGAGAAUCCCUAGCUUAUUUCUAGUUUAACAUACAAUCUGUAUCGUCAAAUCAAAGAACUAAAAGUAUAUAUAACUAAGAAAAGUUUGGAAAUUAUAAAAAAAAACUAGGUUUCAUCCAAAUGGUAUCUUGUAAAUAGAAUUCCCUAGACUGCAAUUAUUAAAGAUCAAAUGUGGUUCUGAUAUGUCCUUUGGUACAUUUGUUAUUUGUUUAUAAAAGUGGAUUUCAUUUCAUUUUAAGAGUGGAUUUCAUUUCAGGCUAAGUUUGAAAAUAAACCACAAUUCAAAUACCAUGAAGCAUAUGUACUUCAAUUUUUGAGAAAACAAUGCCCUCAGGUGCAUAAACAGAUUGGAUAUUGUUAAGCUAUAGCAUUCCUCGGAUUCGUAUUUGGAUAUGAAUAUUAUCAGCUGUAUUGGAUAAGAUAUAGAGAAAAUGUCUUAUUUGACAUAAAAAAGUUGUUCUUCCCCAUUACCAUCCAAACUUCAAAUCUUUUGUAGUUGCCACCUCUUUAAAUUUUUGUUCCCAAACUAACACUACUGUUACCUUCGUUCUAACUCUCCUCUCUGCAGUGCCAUCAUUUCUUGUUAUAUGCCACUACACCAUGUCACUAUCGAUGCUAUUACCAAGUACCUCUCAGCAUGGUUGGCAUAGACCUAGGCAUAUCCCAGUACAUCGCUCCACAAUUAAGGUGACCUAAUAACCAACCAUGGCAUUGGCUAUGAUCCGCCCCCUGCUGGUGCCACUGGCUAAGAAAGUUAGUUUCCUACACGAAACUCAAAUUGGGUAACACACAAGAUAUCAGAGAAGGGGGAGAGCGGCUAUGUUGCCCCAUGACAGGAGUAUCUUGAUCCCCUAGCCCACAUCUCGAUGUUGAGAUGUGAUGAAUUGCAGGAUUAGGAAAUAAGGAUCUGCUAGGCAGGGGAAUAAGGAUGAAGCACGAUAGGAAACCAUUGUAUGUGGAGUGUUGUUAUGUGCCAAGCGGAGAACAGGAGAACUCAGUGGAUAAAGAAGAGUGGCUGAUGUGAAGCCUGGGUACAAGUGAGGCUAUGGGCCUUCAUCUCAUCUAGCUGGACCAAACAACAAGUUGGCGUGAUGGGCUUUUACCUCGCUGAAGGGCCUAUGUGUGUGCGAGUGGCGUCUGGCUAUAAAGUCGUGUAAUGCUUUGAGGAGAGGGUAUAGAACCCAAACCUGUAACCGUUUCCCCAACUAAUUUGUCCGCCUUCCUCGUUGUUGUUCUUGCUCCUCUCCAGAAUUCCUUGCUUUCCCCUCACAAAUUCCAUCCAAUUUCUUAGUUACUGUUGUUCGAUCUAUAUCAACUACUUAGUUCAUAACAAUUGGUAUCUAAAGCAAGGUUGCAUCAAAGGCAAAUUUUUGUUUCUGGUGUUCUUGCCAAAACUGGCACCCAAAGUGUCCUAGUUUCAGCAGAAAAUGGCGUCCUCCAUGGAUGCUAUGGAUUCAAAGGUGGACAAGCUUUGCAAGCAGUUAGUGAGCUUUUAGGAGAUGAUGGGUGAGAUGAUGGACAAGCUUAGUGGAUUGGAGACAUGGCGCAGCGACGCCGACAAGUUGUUCGACAUGUUGCUCCAGUGGACUUCGACGACCUCCAUCGAAUGGGGUCGACGGUGGCAUGGUUGGAGAGGCUGGAGGCGCGGCCUAUGUUGACGGUCCUUAAUUACCAAAUAUAAUCAUCAAAUAAAUAAAGAAAAGGAUCCAAAUGCAACCAACACCCAGACUUAGGGUUUUAUCUGACAGAAUUCCAUGAGUGUUGGUGUUUGUCUAUUUCUGCAGGGGGUUAUCAAGAAAUAUGGAGGAAAGGCCCACACGUCGUGUUUACAUAGAGAUAUUAACGUGUGCGCCAAUUUUCUAUCAUCUAGAAGACUCCAGAAGCCACGGGAACAAACAGGAAGCCGAGCGGGCCCGGGGGCAGGGCGCCCGCCCUCCCCCCUUGGGCGCCCGCCCUAUCAUCUGGACCAAUCAGGCUCCGCCUCGCGGAUUAUGCUCCACCGACCUAAAGGAUCAAGGAAAACCGUGCGAUUAAGGUCGGUUUGAUCUGACGGCUCACAUUCAUUUGGAGGGGCUAUAUAAGCAGGCCCCUGGCCCCUGGAGGAGGCAACCCCUUCAUCCUUAUUCAUUAUUCAUAGAUAGAGCAAAAGCUAGGGUUUGGAGAUGAGAGCUCUCCUCUCUUCUCUAAACUAGAGUAGAUCUAGAUAGUAGCGAGAUGGAGAGCGAGGGAGGAUUGGAGGAGAGGUCGGCCUGUCGGUUCUUCCUCCAGUUGUACUUCGCCAUGAUCAAGCUCUAAUCAAGCUUGCUCAUGUGAUGACUCUGGUAAUCUACUUCUAUUUCUUUAUGCAAUUUGUAUCCAUGUAUGUUUUGGUUCACAACUCUUUUGAGUACUCUAAUCUAUAGGACGCUAUAGGUGAGGGUUGUAGUAUAGGUGUAAGCGUGGUGCUUAGACUUAGAUUACUUGUGGAUAUCCCCUGUCUAGCCGGAUCGUGUGGUAGGCCACGUGGGUGACAGUUACGUUGGUCCUCUGUAGUCCACCUCCCGUUAGCAGGACUGGUAGGGUUUAUCGGCCUAUGGAUAAGCAUUCUUUGUGGUGUAAUCUUAUCACGUGGUUCGUCCCAAACAUAGACAUACCCCUUUGAAGUAGAGAAACCAUAGUUAUCCUCUUUAUUCUUCUAUUAUCGCCCAUAUAUUAGAUUGCUCUACUCUCUAUUCCCCUAUUAUCACCCAUUGUUAUCUUACCUUUAAUAUUAUUCUUAUUCAAUUCUACCAUCUUUCCUAUUUACACCUAUCUAUCUAUCUUGGUUAAGUUAGAGUGUAGAUCAGUUCUCCCGUUUCCCUAUGGAUACGAUAAAACCUUUAACCGGGUAAAAGCUACAACUGUAUCCGUGCGCUUGCAUAUUUAUCUAUGUGCGUAUAAAUACCAUAGUACACUCUAGUGCCAUGCUGGGGAUGACAACCUAGUAUUCAAGUGGUGUUAGCAAGUGUCAACAAGCUUUUUGGUGCCGUUGCCGGGGAGACAGUUGUUGAGUUGACUACGAACUAGCUUAAUCAUUUUCUAAAAAAAAUAUUUUUCCUUUUAUCCUUUGCCUUAUCUCUGCUAUUCUUUCUUCUUAUCUAAUCCUUGAUCUCUGGUCUAUCAUGAAGGCAAACAUGUCUAUCUAUCAGUUUAAUAGACCUACGGGCACACAUCUCAAACCACCAAAAUCUUCAAAGCCUAUCAUGACAUCUAGUUUUGAGAUAAGCCCGGAAUACAUAGAAUUUCUUCAAAAACAACCUUUCUCAGGAGAAGGUGAGGAAAACCCAUACACACACCUAAGAUAGUUUUAUCGAGUCUGUGACCUCCUUCGCAUUGAAGGCACGUCUGAUGAGACCCUUAAAUGGAAGCUCUUUUCGUUCUCUUUAACGGGAAAAGCUAGACAUUGGUAUAAACUCAACAUAGGAAGUGCUCAUGGAGAUUGGAAGGAGCUAUACAAUAGUUUUCUCUCUAAAUAUUUUCCGAUCUCCAAAGUGGCGGAUCUUCAGCUCGAGCUUCUUUCUUUUAGACAAUUAGAAGAAGAAUCUCUUGGCGAAUCAUGGGACCGCUUUAUUGACCUUACUCUCACUGGCCCAAAUCUUUCUAUUCCAGAAGAAGUUCUUCUAAUUCACUUUUUAAGGGCCUUAGUAGGGAAAAUAAGCAAACCCUUCAUGCGGCCUCUGGAGGAUAUUUCCACCACCUGUCCGCUAGUGAAGCUUGGAAUUUGAUUGAUUUAAUGAGCGGAAAGUCUCCUAGCAUUUAUAUCCCUGAGAAAGAGAAAGAACAAGUUCCUAGACAAGAAGAAGAAGUUUCGAUAGCCAGAUCACAACCAUUUCAAUCCCAAACUCUAGGUAUCGAUCCUAAACCAUCAAUACCCCAAAAUUCUCCAAGGGAUUAAGGAAUUCUGACCUUAAAUCUUUCAAAUACUGAUGGUUUAGACUUCUGGUUCCAUAAGAGACUUUCAAGCAUAGAUAAUUCAAAUCCUUGCAAUGAUGGUUCUCUUAGAGAAUGUCCUGGUUCCUGUUAUGAAGAAGUCGAGGAUGACAUAUUAAGUGAAGGAGAGCUAAGCCAUAUAGAAGAUUCUAUCAGCUCCCUUGUCUUGAUCACAAAUUCUAAAUGGCUAGAAUGUGUAGAAUGGAAGGACAAGGAAGAAGCCUUAAUGGAUUCUGACCUUGGCUCAAUUUCAGAUGUUGAGUCUUUAACUCCCCUUGAAUAUGAGAUUCAUCCAUCUAUAGAAGAGGACAUAGACGGGACCAAUCCAAGAGAAACUUUGAACAUUCAGAUUAGAGACGAAGAUAACAUUAAUGAGCAUGGAAUUUAUUUCAUACCCACUUCGUUUACUCCAUGCUCAUAUAAAACAUCUUCCUAAUCUAUUAGUCUCUCCAACAUCACCACAUUUGAGAUCUCCAACCCCAUCUUCCUUUCUAUUUACAAAAACUUUAAAAGGGCGGUUGUCGAUGCACAUGUCUAUAAUAAAUAUUGCAGAUCUCGUUGAGCUAAUCUUGAGAUACAAAGGUUGGCGUUGGAGGGGAAACCACUUCGCCAACAUAAACUGAUGGUUUCCCAAGGACAAGCUUAGUGUCCUAAAAUAAGCACUGAUCAGAUCGUAACAUGAGCUUUUAAUUAUUUGCAACAUUACCUGGUGUAUUGAGCACAUAAGGAUAAUUGUAAAAAUAUUCCUUCGGGUAUUCUUGUCACUAACCUUUCCAGGAUUGGAGCAAGAAGAUCGGAUGAACGACAAGCAAGUACAAGGUAUGUCCAACCAAUCAUUAUGCAACACUAAAUUAAAUUCAUCCAAACUUGAAUUUUGCAAAAUUCAAGCUUGGGGGAGUACCUUACAUAAAAACAUCCUUUGUCAUGUUGCUAUGUUGGUUGUCCCUACCUUUGAGACAUACUCAAUUGAUUAAAUACUAAUCACUCUACUUCAUCUCCACUUGAGUAGAUCUCUAUUAAUGCUACCUUUGUUUAUCCUAGUAAGUAUUAGUUUGGAAGUACUGCACACACUUUUAUUGGCUUUUAAAUUAAGCAUGGUGCUUAGGUUAAACAACCUUCCUUAAUCUGAUUAGACAUGGAGUCUAGUUCGGUUAUUAAACUAAAAACUCCUUGUGUAGACAUUGGUAUAUUUUGUCGGACUAACCCCUGCAGAAAAACUUUCAAUAUCGAUUUGGGAAGUCCUGAGAUAAACUCACAUUAGAGAUAAAGAGAGAGACACAUGAAGUUUAACAAUUUGCGCAAGAGGGACAUAGCUCAUUCAUCAUAGAGAGAUGAUCCAUGGAAGGAGACAAAGUACAUAAACAAGAUACACAACCACUACGAAUGGGAAGCUUCCACAAGGUACACUUCGAGCAAAAUAUGGAGGAGUUUUACAACUCCUAGACUCCACCUAGUGAAGGACUUGGAUCUACGAGCACAAACACACUGAGCAAGAUACUGCCAACGCCGCACUUCGAACUGUUGGGCAAACGAAGAACAUGGGUGACACCGUAUUAAGAGGUGCAAACGUCCAGGUCCACACCUGAAUCAAAUGACGCACCUGAAGAAUGAACACGGUGAGAAGUAUUGUUCAGAAGACUUAAAACAUUGAACCCUUGCCGAAAGGUAAAAUCGGUAGUUAUCCAUAUUUAUCCUUUCUGCAUUCCCUUUUUCCUUAAAUUAUUUACUUUCCUUAAAUGCUUGUUAGUGAAUCAUGCUAUCUUGAAAAAAAAUAAAAAAGUUAAAAAUAGUAAGCCCCAUGUGAGUUUGCUCGUCGCAUAAAACCCAUAAGUACAUUCACUAUGGUGGCGUAAAAAUAAAAUAAAUAUAUUCUUGUCCUAUAGAAAUGAAAAUAUAAAAAUAAAUUUAUGAUCCUACCAAAGAGAAUAAUAUUUAUUAGAGGAAGCUCAACAUGAUAAAGGCAAAGAGAUUUUUAUGCUAACACGAAACCAAUUCCACAAAGCUUUGUUGUCUAUUUGAGCUCCACAGAAUUCAAGGAUCAAAGAAGACUAGCAGACGGAGGACAUCCUAAUCGCUGUCAGGGUGCUGCCAACAUUCAAAUACACCUCCGCCACCUGCUAGCUACAUCAGAAGAAAUUAUGUCAAAAUCCAGCUUGGGGGAGAGCACCCCCAUUUAUCCGGCUAAGUGUUUAUAUUCGCGUUUAUACUUUACUCAAAUAAUAAAAAGAUGCAUAAUCAUAAAAACCCAAAUAAAGAUUUUAUGCUUAUAUAUAUAUCAUUACUUAGUUUGCUAAAUAAAUAAAUAAAGUUUUCUAUGAACUCCAAUGAUAAACUCUUACACGAAUAUGAUGAAUAGUUGCUCUGCCAAGUAUCUAGUUUUCAAAUUUGAGUUCUCUCUCAAGUUUAGGCAUGACUGUUAUGAAUUAAAAUUUGCUCUAAACCUGAACUUGUGGGAAGAGUACUUGAUCUAAAGUCUAAGUCGUUAAUGGAUACGAUAUGGGAAGAUUGAGCUGUUGUUUAUCUAUUCCUAGAGAUGCUAGAAUUCUACAAAAUUUUAUCUUUGAAAAUCUUUAAAAUGUUGCAUGAUGAGUUCCUAUAUGAUGAGAGUUUAAAAUUCUAGCCUAGCUACAUAUACAUGCUUAUUAGACUAUGAAUCAUACAUUUACUUUUCACUGCUUAUGAGCAUUGAGUGUGGUCAAGCUAUGUAGACCCUUAGGAGCUUGUCAUCCAGUUAAAAUCAAGAUUCACUUGCACGUUCACUCAUACAUGUUGCUUCUACUUCGGAAGUACGCAUCCACAUAUAUCCACUCAUUUCUAUCUCCAGAUUCACCCAAAAUUAUUCUACUCCUAUCCGGGAGAGAAUAGCCAAAAACAUUAUCCCAUUCAUGCUUUUCCCAGUGAAAUAAAUGCUCGAGAUAUUUUGGUUACUACCACUUGCUACAUUAUUCCAGAAGGGUGAGUGCUCUAAAAAAGAGAGAGAAAAAAAGAAAAAUACGAGGAAAUAAAAAGGGGCAAGUGCCCGGAACCUCAAAGAAAAGAAAAAGUGAGACGAGAGGUAAAAAUGGACUAAGUGUCCGACAGUAGAAUUAGGGGUACAAGAUACCCCCUGAGAGAAAAGAAAAAAAUAUAUAGAGCAUCUCAUUCUCCUCAAAAAGCGUCAAAGUGCAAGAAAGGUAUGUAUCCCCUCAAAAGAGCAAAAGUAGAAUUAGACUUUCACCAUUAUCACCAUCAUCACCAUACACCAUUCAUUUGCCACUCAUGCACAUCUUGAUUUGACUUAUUGACUUGUUUCUCUCGAUCCAUGGUUUGACUAUGCAAUAAAUGUCUUGUAAGUAUGUAUUAGCUGUCUCCCACCUAUGAGCUCCAGAUAUCAAAACCUUAUUAGAGUAGGGUGAGAGAGAAGGCAAUGGCACUAUGCCUCAUACCAAAAAUACCACAUACUUUGAGAGAAGCCAUAUACCAUCACUGCCUUGGUAAGGAUCCAGAAAUACCACAAAAGAGAGACUAGAGAGAGUUAUACAGGAAUCUCUGAGUUUUAUUUGAAAAUCUGCAAAAACUCCAGAGCUAUAGUUGAUCAAGAACAAGAGACAUGACACUUGACUUGACCGUUCUAUCUUUUAAUUGCUCAAAACACAAGUGACUGUUGCAAGCCCAAUGGUGGAAGGUAAUAUGAGUAAGUUUAAAUCUUAACUACAGUUUACCCUAACCCACAGAUGAGAUCUUGUUUGAACGCAUGUGUACCUUUAAGGCAUGAAACCACUGCAGAAACUCUUGAGUCCAUCCUUACUCAGGGACGAGCAAGAGGUAAGCUUGGGGGAGUUGUUGACGGUCCUUAAGUACCAAAUAUAAUCAUCAAAUAAAUAAAGAAAAGGAUCCAAAUGCAACCAACACCUAGACUUAGGGUUUUAUCUGACAGAAUUCCACGAGUGUUAGUGUUUGUCUAUUUCUGCAGGGGGUUAUCAAGAAAUAUGGAGGAAAGGCCCACACGUCGGGUUUACAUAGAGAUAUUAACGUGUGCGCCAAUUUUCUAUCAUCUAGAAGACUCC